rnacentral:lncRNA from 1 species
UGAAAUGAUGAAAACAUGUGAUUACCUAAAUUUCCUUCCGGCAUAGCUUCUAUAAAAGAAGCAAUCAUCUCCUCGUCGCAACUCUCUACUGCCAAGUACAAGGGAGACUUGUCUUCCUUGUUCUUGUGGUAGGAAACUUCUAGGUCUUCAUAAAGGAGGAAACAGGCCACCUCUCGGCAACCCUUGAUGACUGCAUCAUGCAAAGGGGUGUUUCCUUUAUUAUUCUUCAUCCUUAGCAAGCUAGCAAGUUCAAGUGUUCUAUGAUGAAUUUUCACAUGGUUGACGAGAAUUUGAAUUGUGUCAGACUGUCCAGCCCUGGCAGCCAGAUGAAGCGCAUUAUCACCCAGGAAAUUUUCCCUGGUGAUUAGGAGGGGGAAGUGAUGACACAGUAGGUGUGUCACAUCUUCGCUUCCAUGGCUUGCUGCAACAUGAAGCAGUGAAUUUCCAGAGGCAGCAACAUGUUUGAAAAUGAUAUUGAGCACUUCCUCUGAUGAAACAUGUUCCAGUUUAUCGGACAAGAGACCGAACAGGGCAUUGAAGUUGUCUUCCUUUGCAUAGGUAUAAACCUCCUUCUGCAGUAUUUUAUUUGGCUCAGAAAAACCAUAAUCUGCAAUCGGAACUGGGAAUUUAACUGCCUUCCAUCGUUCAAGCUCCUCAUUUACUGGUCUCGGCAUAUCUAUUUGUAAUUGCAUAGAGAGUUGCAACGUGCUGGAAGAUUGUAAUAUGUCGGUUGAGUGCUCGAUCUCUUCUUGAGUGACUUAACUUUGCUGCGGUUGUAUCUGUGGUAAUUACAUGUCUUGUUAUUUGGCCAAGCAAACUAAAGAAUUCAUAGAAAACAUGACUGCAAGAAAUAUGGUAAUUAAAGUAUUAGUGAGAGAAAACGUACAUUAGCUACAUAAUUUCUCGAAAUACAAUUAUUUAGGAGCAUAAUGUCAAAAUUAAACUGUUAACGCGUUGUCGAUUUUUUCAAGUAAAAGUUUUUUUUUAUAUUUACAUCCAAAAAUAACUACGGGUUUGUGUAUUGUAUUUAUAAAUAAAAUAAUAUUUUACGACUUUUAAUAUAUUUUCUAAUAGUAUUAUAUAAAUUAAUAAACUAUAUGCACAAAUAUAUCAAAUUAAUAUAAUUGUUUUUAGCCGCAAACAACUGAUGCCAGUUUGUUAAGAAGAAUUUGAAUAGAAUCUUAAAAAAUAAUUCUCAUAAUAUAUGAAGGAGAAAAUAAUACAUAGAUAAAAGUCAAUUCUCUCCAUAAUAAAGAUCAUUCUCAAAAUGCACACUCCAAACACACUAAAGCAAAAUGAAAGGUUUAAUCAUCAUACAAUCCUGACAUAAAAAAAGAAGUCAGACCAAUCCCUCGUAUCCAUACACUCUAAAUUUUGUGCCAAUAACAAAAAAACUAAAUGCAAAAUCUAUAAAUAGUUUUUUUUUAAAAAAAAAAAACAGUGAAUAUCUUCUCUUUUGAAGAAUGAGAGAUAGAGUGUACAGUGUAGGAAAAAUUAUAAUUAACCUAAAUACAGGGAUCAUACCUCCUUUCUCUUGUUUACGAAGACGUUUCGGGUAUUUUUCAUGCACUUUCGAUGAAUUGCAAAAAAAAAAAAAAACCCGAACAAAUUUAAACUGAGAUAUUGACACCAAAAAAGAAAAGAAAAAGAAAACACCGAACCAUUACACUAAUCAUGAGAUUCCAUGUUAAAAUGAAAAGGAAAGAAUAUAUAAGAAAAUCAAUUCUGAAGGAGAACCAUAUAAAUGUGUACCUGUAUAUUAGUGUAAACUGAGAGAGAAGGAGCGUGAAGGGAGAUGACGAAGAAGACCAGUUUCCUGCAUGCACAAGUACUUUCCCUGCCAAUAAUUAGACAAAAUUAAGAGACUUGUGCAUACCGAGAGGUUUUUUAAGCUCUAAGAAACAAACUCCUUAGGUAAUAAGGUUUCUAAAAAAGAAAAAAAGGUUUCUUUGCUUUUCACUUUUCUAUUUAAAAGAGAGUGUGCUGAACAAGCAACACGUUGGCAUCCAUUUCAAGCUUUAAAAUUAGAAAAUGUGAUUUUAGAUAUAUAUUUUUUUAUUUUAAAGUAUUUUUUAUUUAGAAAUAUAUUAAAAUAAUUUUUUUAUUUUUUAAAAUCAAUUUUUAUAUCAACGCAUCAAAAUCAUCUUAAAACACAAAAAAAUAUUAAUUUGAAAUAAAAAAAUAAAAAAAUUUUAAUUUUUUUAAAAAUAUAAUUUUAAAACACAAAAACAAAUAUUACUGACUGAACUCAAAUUUUUUUGGAUGCAUAUAGUACUUUUUUCUUUUAGAAUCUUUUCUUUUCUAUUUAAAAGAGAUUGUGAUGAACGAGCAACACAUGUUGUUUUAAUAAUCCUUUUAUAAUAUCAAGCUUUAAAUUUGACAAAUUUAUAAAUUAGGUUUCUCUUAUCAUUAAUCCGAAUUCCUAAUAAUUUUUAUUCAAAUUUGACCACAUCUUUUGUUCAUUGUAGCAUUAAGCUUUGUUGAACAUCAAUUACUAAUCAUACCUGAAUUUAAGCCAUUCAAAUAGCUACCAUCGCCGCCCUGCGGUCACCAAAUCAAACGUACAUCAUACCUCUAUUUUCUAUGCUUUUAUUCAGUUUUGUAAUUGCUUGCUUCCAGUUCUUGUGCUUAGAUACUCUGUUUGCUGAUUAAGUUACAUAUUCCCUGAUCUUUUGUUUGCGGAUUCGAUUUUUAUCCCAAUUAUUUUUAUUUUUCCAAUGAAAACUUUCAAUGAACAAGUUUCUCAUCAGAUAUUUGUGUUUCAUCGGUCAUUCCAUCAUAAACUUUUUUUUUUUUUUUUUAUGGAAUGACCAAUAAAAAUAUUCAUGCUAAAAAAUUAGAUUUUAUCACCCAUUUGUCAUCGGGAAGUCCGUCCAAGAAAAGGAGCAAAUAUUACCGCUGAAAUCAUGGAUAAAAAUACACUUUAAUUUCCAAUGGAAAUUCCUUCAUCAAUUCCAUUGGAAAUACCUAAACUUUAUGUAAAUUUCGAUGAAAUGUGAGUAAAUAUUGCCGACAAAAAUGCAAUUUUUUUGGUGAUUCUGUUUGUGUUCCAUACUUUUUUUAUGUUGUUUAGUUUUUAUAAUCCCAAAUGCAUUUUUUAUUAACACUAAACUCAUAACAACAAUAAUAAAAUUAAAAAUAUUAUAACAAAAUUCCAUACAUAAAAAUUUUGUAAAUAACAUAUUAAAAUUUUUAAAAAGUUGGAGGGGGUGAAAAAAAUCAUGAUCUAUAAGCUCCACGAGAGGGAGGAAAAUAUAAAGCCAAAUACGCACGUAUUUACUCUCAUUUUCUAUUAUUUCUUGUUUGAUUUUUGCUCUUAUUUCUUCUAUUAGUUCUGCCAUUAUUUAUGCUCUUAUAUUAUGCAACUCAAUAGCCAAUUGUUAUGGAAUCCUAUCUCAAACCAUCUCCUUAAUGGCCGAUGAUGUCUGGUUGAAGUUGGAAUAUUGUGUGCCUACCAUUAAAACACUACGAAUCACCCUUGUAUCUUGGUCAAUGCUAUAGGCAUACCACAAACUAAAUUCUUAUCAAGUCUAUUAAUUGUGUUUUUCAUGUUUAACAGCCAUGUUGGCAUUAUAUAUAUUUGUCAAAACAAAACAAAAGGUCAAAAUCCAAUUAAACUUAAAAAAAAAAUAGUAAUACAAUUAUAACUAUCCAAAAAUACUUACAAUGAACUCUUUUACUGUUUCACUGUAUUAUUGAUAAACCUUUUUAUCUUUUUUGCUUAUCUUCUUUUCUUAUAUGAGUUUCCUAAUAUAAUUCCAUUGGAGUAUGUUCGCACCAAAACUGUUUUUCCUAUACAAUAAAUAGUUUGUAAAAAAGUCUCAUAAAUAAAAAAUAAAUUAAUAAUUAAAUAUAUAGCAAUGCUCUUAUUAGGCUAUUUGCAUGGUUCACCAAGGAAAGUGUUCUUCAAGUGUGCAUGCUCAUCAAACCAUGAAUUUUCUUUUUUCCUUUUGUUUUGAGACCUAGAUUUUGAGCACUUUUUAAAACCAUAUGAUGCCAAAACUUCUUGAAACUUAGCCCAAUUACUCUUUGUGACGUGUCUCGAUCAUCUAAAAUUUUUCCACAAUACUAUGUCAUCAAAGUUGGCUCUGUUCAUUGAAUAUCUAGAAACAUCAUGCCACAAAUCACGCAACCUAGUAUAGUAAUUUGAUAAACAAAAUUAAGAUAAGGAAAUGAAAUAUUAUAGUUUUACAAUAAUAAUUGUUUUUUGCAUUAUACUUACCUAAUUACAAUGUGGUUUUCCCACACAUUUCUUACAACCCCCUCAUUUUCCUUGUCCUGGUAAUUUUUUUUUCCUUGUAGUCAAACAUUAGUUAUUUUUAAAAAUUUUAAAAAACUAUAUAUUAACUCAAAGUAUAUAUUAUUUAUUUAACCAUUAACUUUUCCCAAAAACAUCUACUAUAAUCAUACAUUUAGAAUGAUCUUAAAGUUGACUCUAUUAAAACAAUGGUUUUUCAAAAACAAAUUUAAGAUUAAUUGUAUUAAAGAGAAAAACUAUAAAAAAAAAAACACAAAAAGUGUACCUAAGAUGUACAUCAUCUUGUAACCCAAAUCAAACUGACCUUAGACAAUAGGGGAAAAAAAAAAGCUAAAAAAAAUUAAAAAUUUCUGAAAAUAAGACUGCUUGAAUAAUAGCAUAGAAAAUCAAUUCAUCAAAAUCAUUUAAUGUAAAACUUAAAAUAAUCUAUUACAAAUAAAUAACUUCAAUGGUGAGAUAAAAAACAUGACUUACAUUGUGUCGUUGGCUUUUUAUGUUGCAAUAAGUUUUCUUGAUACAGGGUCUCUAGAAGAAGGGAUUCUACCUUUUUUGUUUGUGAAAUUCAUUGUUGUAAAUGAGAUCAUUGCAUAAUUAGUUGGCAUCAAAGGACAUAAUAAUCUCUCUCUUUGUAUGAUUAAUAGAAAUGAUACUGUGAAUCUGUAAAUUAUGCCAGAAACGCUUUAUUCUGUUUCUAAAGGACUCGAGGCUAUUGCGCUAAGCGUUGAAGUGCCUAUGUUCAGAAUCAUUUUAAAAUUACCUGCAUUAUUGCAUUUUUGUUCCACUAGAAAUUGUUUCUGAUGUUUUCGACAUUUACAAAUAAUGCAAGGUCCUAUCCUGGUACUGCUACAUCUGCUUGGUGUCGCCUUGUUAAGUUAACUGGGUAUUUGCAUAAUGUUUCCAGGCUGAUGCUUUUGAAAGCCAGCGUGGACAAUGCAUUGAUAUCACCUGGAAAGUGAUAAUUUAUUUAAAUAAAACAGACUUUACCAAGGUGGUGGAAACAAUGCUAUACAGCCCUGACAAAUAAAUGUAUAAAUGACAUGCGAGAGUUAAACUGGUUUUGCUUACACCAUUGUGCAUAGAACUGCUUAUUUCCUUUUCUGAAGAAUGUUCUUUGUACGCUUAAUUGAACUAGUCUCUUUAAGUGUUCAAUGGUUCUCACCAACCAUUUGUCAAAGAAAUAAAGAAGUCUGUUAAUUUUAUUGGUUUGCCAUUCCAACAGGGGCUGGAUCCCCUUUAAAUUGUGCAUGCAACUUGUUAGCAAACCUCUUAUUUUGGUAGGCAGAGUUUAUCCGUGUUGUGACUUCAGAUAAUAACAAUGACUGAUUUGGUCAAUCUCUCAAAAAGUUUUCUGUAUUCCCGAGAGUAAUAAUCCUAAUCAUCAUUUUAGGUUAGUUGACAGAAUAUCUUUCUUGGUUAUUUCUUAGUUCAUAUGAACCAAACCUGCCUCAUUCCUCCCCUCAUGCGAGGUAGUUAAGUAGUGUAUGAGCCCUAGUACUGGUUUCAAGAUAUGACUUAUCACUGUGUAUAUGUCUGUAGUUAGUUUAGCUGAGAGUUCAAACAAGUGUUUAUGGUGUUAAACGUUUUUCAAUCAUAAAUUGUUUUGCAGAUAUAAUUGAUGAAUUGGUGAAGAAUGGGAAAGAGAUAAGGCUGUAUAUUUUGCUUCUGAAUCUGGUUUGACGAAAAGAUUUUCUCCUGUAUCUCUACUCAAGUCAUAUCUUAAGAAUUCCAAGAAGAUCACAACUACUGUCUUGAAGAAUGGCAAUUAUAGUGUAGCUGCAACGGUGUGUCUAAUCUCUAUCUACAUUGUGUAAUUCUAAUGACAUGAAAUAUUUGAGUCUUAUUAAUUUUUUUGCAGGAUGAGUCAAGUACCUUGGAGGGUGAAUUCUAUUAAAGCAAUCAUCAAAUGUGUGGAAGAUCAUAAGCUUGAAUCAGAAUUUUCCCUUGACAGCUUGAGAAAACGGGCUUCUCUGCUUGAAAAAAACAAAGCAGAGAGGAAGAGGGGUACGUCAGCUGCCACUGCUACCAAGUCUCAAAACAAGCGAGGCCAUGGUUCAGGUGGUGGCCGGGACAGUGGACCUACUCCUUAUCGACAAGCCAAAGCUGCCAAAUUUUCAAACAAUUAUUCCUCUUUCAGCCGCAGGAAUGCUCCUCUCCCUGCACAGCAUAGCCCGGCUAGAAGAUAUUCAGGGCCAUUCCACUACCCUAGCCAGAGUGUCUACGAGGGCCCCGCAGCAGCCCCGUAUGCAUCAACUUAUGGUAUCUCGCACGCUCAAAGCCCUUCUGCAAUCUCUCAACAACCCUACCAUCACUCUCAAAGCCCCAGUGCAAUUCCUCAACAACUCUACUCACAGCCAGCGGAGAACAUGAGUGCUGCCGGUUUCCGUGCCAGUGGUUCUUAUGGAAGCCAGACCGGUUACGGGGCAUAUGAUUACGGCUCUGCUGCACCCGUUACUUACCAACCUUCAUCCUACACUCAAUAAGAUGGGAGGAACCUAGCCAGGUGUUAAGAUUCUUAUUUUUAUUUGGUGUCUGAUUUCUGGAUGUGGCCCUCUAAUUUUGGGACCCGCCCCCUUCAUCUCCCUUUCCCGUAUAAAAGUUUUUUUUUGGUCUUAUCUCAUGACUGGAUAUGAUGCCCAUGCCUGUAACGCUGAUUACCUUUAUAUGGAGCUCAAGCUGGAUGUGAUUUCCGUGCUGUGAGUUUUAAAUGGUUUGGCUAUCGAGCAUUGUAUUCUUUCAACUUCUUUCCUUGAUUGGAGUCGCCAUUGGGUGCCUAUGCUUGUGUUUUUGCCAAAUUUUGGUUAAUCAAACCAAUUUCAUUUGCUGCUUGCACUUUUUUAAGAAGGAAGAAAUGAAUAACAAGGAACAUGUUAAUUAAUAGGACUAACUUGUUAAAAUCACAACAAUUUAGUAAUCAUGCUAAAAAUCCAAUUUAGUAAGAACAUGGCUAUAAUGGGUAACAAUUAUCUAGUCCUUGUAAUUGAUAGACAUCAUUCUUUUGGCCACUAGGUCUGAAAAUAACUCACAAACAUUCAGACCAAUGGAGAAACUUGUAUUAGAUGUUCUAUAAAAUGGUUAUUCAUCAUCUAAUUCUCUACAUAAACAAAUAACUACAUAUGGUAAUCAAUAACACCAUUUAGGCUUUCAUUGAUUAGCUCAAUCAAAACUAAAAUGAGCUCAAAUAAAGUUGACCAAGCACUUGUUUUUGUACUGUUUCUUAGGAGACAAGUCUUAUGAUAUCCUUUAAUAAUAAGCACUCUAAUAAGAAUAUUUGGAAGUAGUCAUAUUCUAAGUAUUACAUGUCCACAUAAUAAUAAUUUCAACAUAAUUUGGGUACACACUUCCAAGUGAUCAGUUAAUGUUUAAUUUUACGAUAAAAUAUUUCAUUUUAUUAGUUUAGAGCAAUUAAGGCUUUUGGAAAUAAAAUUAAAUCCUUAAAAACUUGUGAACACCUUUAAUUUUGUCCCAUUGAGGACUAGUUUCUAAUUUUAGUUGUAGUUAUUUUUUAUUUUAAUUUGGUUUUUCCAUAUAUUUUUUGAAAAUUGUCUUGAUAGUUUUUAUUCUUAGAUAUAAUGGUCCAUAAUAUGAAGACAAAGGUCUAGUGCUUGAUUGAUGUUCAAUUUUAUCAAAAUAUGUUUAAAUUGAGUUGACUUAAAGCAAUUAGGGUUUAAAGGACCAAAUUUGAUUAUGAAAUAAAUAUGAGAGACUAAAAUUAAUGAGUAUAGUUAAAAAGGUACAACAGCUUUGGCAGCAUAUGCAACCUUUUCUAGCGGCCAACCCACCCUUCCACGGUGGCGAUCGAUGUAUCUUAGAAUUCUUUUCUUGCAAGGGUAAUUAACACAUGUAUUCUUAUUCUUGGUGGUGUGUCGUUAGCGUUAUUUUUUUAUUUUAUUUUAUUUAUAUUUUUCCUCUCUUUUCUUUAAAAUUCAUGCUAGCCAUUUCAAAUUUCGUAGUUGUCUCCUUGUUUUAGUAUUAUUUCAAAUUCGAAUCUUUUUUUAUUACUAAGUUUUUGUUCUAGAUCUUUUUUUAAAAUGUAAAAUUGUUUUCAAUUUUCUCAUUCAAUAAAAAAUUACAAGUUGUCCUUUUUUUUAUUUUUAAAAUUUGGUCCAUAUUUUUUUAAUUCCUAUUUUUAGUUUUUGAUCCUAUAGUGAAAUUAAAUUUUCCUUUCAUUUUCAUCAUCUAAUUUGUUUUUAUUUCUAAUUCUAUUCUUAUUCUUUUGGUUGGCCUUGAUCUCUUUUUCUGUCCUUCUAGGGUGCUGUAAUCACCAUCAACAAAGUGGCCUUUUAAGGAAGAAGUGGCUCAAAUUGUUUAUAUAGUUGGGUUACAUUUUAAUAUAGUCAUGUAUUUGAAAAAGUAUUUAGUUAAUUAAUAUAUAUAUAUAUUACUAAAAAUUCUUUUAAAAUUUUAAUUAAAAUAUAAUAUAAUUUAUAACUUUUUUUAAAUGUAUUUUUUUAAAUCACAUAUCUAUCACAAAGAAAGAUCUUUUCAUAAAUCCCAACUUUCGCAAGAAUAUUAAUCAUGAGUCCUUACAUGUCCUCUUCCUUGUUGAAUUCUACGGCCUUCGAAUGUCAUGUCUAUGCCGAUUUACUCGGGUAUUUCUUUAUGCAUGCAUGCAAAAUAAUAUAAUAAUUAAUUAUUAGUUUAUAGAGGCUGAUAAAUAAAUAAAAUAUAUAGUUUAUUGAGUUUCCAAAACAAAACAAUCGCAUCUUGUGGUCAUCAACCAAAUCUAAUACUGUUUGGGAAAACACUGUUCAUGUAGAUUAAUAAGUACUAUUUAUUAAAACAAAGUAUUAAUGAUAGUUUUGCUUUUCUCGUAAAAGAAUUUGAACCAGUUAUUUAAGAUACUUUCACAAGUUUCAUUUAUUAUUAUCAAGUCAAAUUAAUAAGUGUUUUUGUAUUUUGAAAUCAUAGUAAAAUAAUUAAAAUAUGUUUACAUGUAAAAAAUUAUAAACUAAUGUCCAAGUGCUUUUUAGUAUUUUUACACUAGUUUUUUCAUUAUUAUUAGGUUAGUUGAAGGAAAAACUAGUAUUUUAAUAAAUAAAAAAUAUUAUUUAAAAACAAAAAACGACUAGCCUAUGUAAUGCUUGUGCAAGCAUAUAAGCGGCGCUAGCUACACUCAAGUGGCAUCUCUCAACGAUCAAACAUUAGUUUUUGCCAUGUCAUUGGAAGCACUGCAACAUACUCUUCCUUUAAGAACGACACAUGGUGUUAUUGGGGUGGCGGUGUGAUGUUGGUGACUUUUUUUUCUUCUCAUUCCACUUUACUCUUUCCUCCUCUUGAAAAUCGUGUUGGCCAUGCGAAAUUUCAAAGUUGUCAUCUAAUUUAUUGAGAUGUCAAAUUUAUUAUUUAUUAUUUUGAUUUAUUAUUUUUGUUUUUGGUUAUUUUGUGAAAUUUUGAGUUAUUUUUAAUUUUAUCUUUCAAUCUCAAUUUGUGAUAUAUUAUGUUUUUUUUCAAUUUAGUCUUCAUUCUUUUGAUAGUUUUAUUUUGAGUCCUUUUGUUAAAUUGAAUUUUCUUUUCAAUUUCACCCUUCAAUUAAAAAUAAAAUUUAUUUUUUUUAUUUUAAUUUUGAUCCUCAUUCCUUCAAUUACUAUUUUUUUUUUUCUAAAUAAUUGAUUUUUCUUUUUUUCAUUUUUAAAUUUUAUCAAAAACGCACGUGAUUAGUUGUUGUCAAACUAUCUAGUGCUAAGAAUUCGAAAGUCAAGUACCCUGCAAUAUGAAAGAACUCUGAAAACACACACCAGAGACAUGCAUGUUCUGCUUUAUAUUUAACCAAAGUCGUUACAAGAGAGAGGAGAAAGAGCUUAUCUAUUUGUUACAAGAGAUACAAAUUACAUGAGAUUUAAAUACCCUCCAGUUUGAACUGGAUGUGAUCCUAUUCUCCACCCAUAAAAAUUAUAAGGAAUUUAAUGGGAUUUGCAAGCAGGACAGACAUUACUGAAAAUCUAGAGUAACAAAGUACUUGCCAAUAAUAAAAAGAGGAUUGGAAUGUGAUGAUGGUUAUGAAAAAUCCAGUACGUUCUUGCACCGUGAUUGCCAGGAUGAAUGUAUAUGCUAAACCCAUGAAGGAAAGGCCACAUAUGAUACAAUAUGUCGCCAUGUCCAUGCUUAUUCUUACAUUACCGGUACGACCUAAUGAUAUCCGACAAAGGAUUAUAGCGGCGAUGAGGGAGAAAUUCAUAGCUAGCAUGUCAAAAAAAAUAUAAGCUCUCAUCAGAUAUUUUGAAGUACCACUGCUAAGAUCAGAACCUGAUCCAGGCACAGUGAUAGCACCAGCGAAGGUUACUCCAGCUACCAGUACUGCCACCACGAGAAGAUUCCCUACCCCUCUGUUCCGUUCCUCCGUCGUUAACGUCGUUCUUGGUGAAUCAAAGAUAAGAUUGAUGCCAAACUCAUUCUUAUCAUCUUCCUCCACCAAAACUUUUAAUACCUCACGCUGAACAACAAAAUGUUAAUUAGAAAAUAUAUGGUAAACAAAUUAAUUAUAUAAAGCAUCAUGACAAUGUUAUCUUAAUAUCCCAUAAUAACGAAGAAGUAACUCAUCGCAAUAUAUUUAGUAGAUCAGCGAGGCAUUCCAUAUUUUUGAGCAAGUAAAGAACUUUAUUUCCACUUUGGAUUAAUCAAAUUUUAGGUAAUUAAAAGAAAUCUAUCAUUCCCUUUUCUAUAAAGUUGCAACAUGGACAGAAUGUGGAUGUGAAAGUUUUUGCUAGACUAGAAUGUAUUUACUUCAAUCACCUGAUUAGCUUCUUACGUGGACGAAACCCUCUGGUAUUGAUGAAUAUAAAAGAAUUAAAUGUGACUGAGGUUUUGAAAAUUAAAAAAUCUUUUUAAAUGAGUAUUGAUUGUUCCUAUAUAUGCAAUUACUAGAAGCUGGUUGUGAGUAUAAUGCCAUUACUAGAAGCUUAUUGGCAUAUGGAAAAAACUAGAGAGUAUUUAUGCUUCUAGACCCAUGACUAAUCGUUUUCUUUUGAAGUUAGAUUUGUACUCUUGAGGAUGGAUGAAGGAAUGGGUAUACACAAGAGUUAAAAGGUUGACAACACAAGUAGUCAAUAUUAGAAAAAACAAAAUUGGGGAAAAAGAGCGAAACCUCAUUCUACAAGCCAUUGGUGCAAACAAUACUAGUUAAAAGGAUAACUUUAGGUUUAAUCUUACUAGAUAGAAUAAAAGGUUUUGAAAGGUAACGAGGCAUUGGUGAUGGAAGGUAAUCUAGGAAAUAAAAUUAUGAUUGUCAUGGGAGGAACAUGGCAUAAAGAGGUAGAUUUGGUAUAAAAAACUCUAUUUGAGAUUCUAGAUCUAGAGUGGAAUACAAUAUUAAUAUUUUUAUUGUCAUUGCAAAAUACUAGUUAAAAGGAUAACUUUAGGUUUAAAUGAUACAACUAUAAUUUUAUUGGAGAAUGAUAGGUUUUGAAAAUAGAAAACAAUGUCAAAAGGUAACGAGGCAUUGAUUAUGGGAGGUGGUCCUGUAAUUUACCAUGAAAGAUGGGAGCAAAGUGUUGAAUAUUAAACUCAAUCCAGAAGCUCCCAGAAGGUCAAGGAAGACAACCAGCCACCAGCCACCAGUCGCCGACCAGCCGCCAGCCGCCUUCACACUUGAAGGUUGAAUUUUCUAGUUUUUGAUUUCGUGUAUAAAUAGAGUGCCUAGCUUCUGUUAAUGUGUGUGGAGAGAAUUGAGAGCAACACUAGAAAGAGAAUAGAGAGAGAGAGGGCAUGUACUGUUAAGCUUUUGUUAAUUAAUUGUAAGCUUGUGUUUUUGUAACAAAACUUUGUGUUUUAUCCCCUCUGAGUGUUUCAAAGUCACCACCAGUGGUUUCUCCCAUGCACCAACAAUUAGUAUCAGAGCCCCGUUCGUCAGAAAACAGAAGUGUUUUGGGGUACAUCCGAAUUUUCAAAGUUGUCAAAAACAAGUUUUGAUCAUUCCACAGUGAAGAGCUCAUCAAUACGAACUCACUGUCGCAAGAAUCAGCCUUAUCGGAGUCCGCGGUGAUCCACACGCGCCGCCUGAAGAUCCGGUGACUGUAUCCCAUGCGCAUCCACGCGCGCCAUAUUUGAGCCGCGCCGAGCCCGAGCCGCGCCGCAAGCCGAGCCGUCCUCCGCACCGAGAGAAUAUUCCCCAAAAUAUUCCCUGAAUAUUCCUGGUUCAACCUAGCGAACCGCCCGCCGUACAUAAUUGGUUUUUUGACCGGUUCACCCAUUUUCUGACCCGAAUUCAACAAAGUCAGACCGGUUCCCUGCUAUUUGGAUCAUUCCAGAUCGAUCUACAAUGUCCGUUUGGCCAAAUUCGGCUCCUAGAAAGGUGAUAUAAUCAUUCAAAGAGCAAAAUGACUACAGAAGAUACACAUACACUCAUUCCAAAGCUGACCAAAGACAACUAUGAUAGUUGGUGCAUCAGAUUGAAGGCAUUCCUUGGGUCACAAGAGUGUUUGGAUAUUGUACAAACUGGUUAUGAUGAAUCAGAGUCCAAAGAAAGAGAAGAUGUUUUAUAAGAGGCACAAAAGCAAGCUCUUAAAGUCAACAGAAAGAAAGACAACAAAGCAAAGACCAUCAUCUAUCAGGGUCUUGAUGAAGACACAUUCGAGAUCAUAGCUUCCGCUGAAACAUCACAUGAUAUAUGGAGGCUCUCCAACAGAAAUACAAAGGUGCUGACAGAAUUAAAAAAAUUCGUCUUCAAUCUUUGCGAGGUGAAUUUGAGUUAUUGCAAAUGAAGUCCUCGGAGUCUAUUUCUGAUUAUCGCACAAGGAUUAUGGUGAUAGUCAACCAGAUGAGGAGAAAUGGAGAAGCCAUCGUCGAUUCUCGAAUUACUGAGAAAAUUUUGAGAUCGCUAGAUCCAAAAUUCGAUUUUGUUGUUGUCGCAAUUGAAGAAUCUAAAGAAGUGGACAAGUUGACAGUUGAUGAACUUAUGAGUUCUUUGCAAGCUCAUGAGCAGAAAAUUGUAAAGGGAAAUGGAGAUAAGGCAAUUGAGCAUGCCUUACAAGCAAAGCUGUCUCUCAAGGACAAAAUAUGAGCAAGGGGAGACUUCAACAAAUGGAUAUACCACUCAAGCAGGAAGUCAACAAUCCAGAGGAGGAUUCCAGAGAUUCCAAGGAAGAGGUUCUUGGAAUACAAGCUUUAGAGGAAGAGGUGGCAGAAACAUCAUUAGAGGAGAUCGAGGACAACAAGCAUUCAAUCCUAGAGGAAGAGGGGGCGAUUACAAUAACCAUGACAAGAGGAAUAUCCAAUGUUAUAGUUGCAAUCAAUUUGGGCACUAUAGCACUGAAUGCAGAAGGAAAGCUCUAUUGGAGAUACGUGAGCAAGCCAACUAUGCAGAGAAGGAUGACAGAGAAGAAGCUGCAUUUCUUGUCCAACAAGAACUUGGCGAGAAACAGGAAAAUACAUGGUAUCUAGAUACUGGAGUCAGCAAUCACAUGUGCGGCUACCGAGAGUUAUUUGGUGAUCUAGAUGAGACCAAGCAAGGUCUAGUUACUUUUGGAGAUACCACAAAGGUUCCAUUCAAAGGUAAAGGCAGCAUCCCAAUCAAGUUGAAGAACGGCGAUUCUAGCUACAUCACCAAUGUCUAUUAUGUUUCCAGCUAUAAAGCAGAACCUGAUCAGCUUAGAUCAACUUUUGAAGAGAGGAUAUACUUUUUACUCGAAGAAUUGUCAUCUGACAAUUAGAGACAACAAUUGGAGAUUAAUGGCCUACGUGAAAAUGUCCAAGAAUAAGAUAUUUCCUUUGAACAUCCAGUAUGAUGCAACAAGGUGUUUGAGUGCCAUCACCAACAGUGAAGAAUGACUUUGACGAGGCUUGGAUAUCUGAAUUUCACAAGUCUGAAGAUGCUAUCAAGCAAGAAGAUGGUCCAAGUUGCUAGAAUUGAUAAUGUUAAAAUUAAGAUAUAUGAUGAAGCAAUGAAAACCCUUUGUGAUGCUAGGACUUAGGCACAUGCAGACUUACAAGAAAGAAAGUUGGUGAAACUGAAAAUCUUACCAUUUUGAGAACUUUUACUUCCUGCGAUUUGUUCCAUACACCUCUCGCAGCAUCAUCCUCAUGCUUGGUAUCGAUUAACUUUUUCUGAGCAAGAACAAGCAAAGACAGUAUUAAUUUGUAAGUAUACAUUCGAAACUGAAUUUGAAUGUAUUUUCUUGCAUUCAGUUUUUGUAAUGUUAAAGGUUGUCCUUUUCAUUAUCAUUUUUUGCAAGUAUAUAUGAUGAUUGAUUUGGAGUAUGAUCCCCCGUGAUGUUCAAGAGCAAUUGCAAGCCCAUUAAUUAGCACCAUAAGGUCAGUUUUUCGAAAAGUCUCAGCAUACAAGCAUACCAUUCCAUCUGAAUUUGGUGCUUCAAAGCGUCCGCCUUGCAAUAAUUUCUCAACAACAGCAGAUGGUUUCAACUUUUCAUUAUUAACAAUCCUUUUAUCCACCCGCUUGUCACUCACUAGUGCCCGCACUAUCUCAGGACGGCCAUACAUUGCAGCCAAGUGCAAAGUGUAUUUCCAUCGUAAUCUUUCUCAUUUAUAAGUGCUUCCAGAUCUCGAUUUCCCAAUAUUUCAUCCACUAUUUUCAUCUGUCCACUCCCCGCUGCAACGUGAAGAAUAUUGUGUCCUUUUUUGUUGAGAAAAUCCGUUGGAUCGCGCCAAUUAGUAAGUAGUUCGCGUAUUACUUCAAGAUGGCCCUUCUGGCAUGCAACAUGGAUGGGUAAGUUGCCUUCUUCGUUUCUUUGUGAUGCGGCAACAGGACAUCGACUAACCAGGAGUCUUGCUACAGAAAGGAAGCCCAUGGAUGCUGCAUCAUGCAGAGGGGUGUUUCCAUCGUAAUCUUUCUCAUUUAUAAGAGCUUCCAGAUCUCGAUUUCUCAAUAUUUCAUCCACUAUUUUCAUCUGUCCACUUUCCACUGCAACCUGAAGAAUAUUCUGUCCUUUUUCGUUGAGAAAAUCCAUUGGAUCGAGCCAAAAAAUAAGUAGUUCGCGUACUACUUCAAGAUGGCCCUUCUGGCAUGCAACAUGGAUGGGUAAGUUGCCUUCGUCGUUUCUUUGUGAUGCGGCAACAGGACAUCGACUAACCAGGCGUCUUGCUCCAGAAAGGAAGCCCAUUGAUGCUGCAAGAUGAAGGAGAUUUCCCCCUUUUAUGUCCUCGGGAAGCAUUAUAUCCGGCUUGCCGACCGCUAGUUUUUCUAGUGCAGCAUAAUUUUAAAAUUAGAUAAUCAAUACAAAAAACACAAAAUGCAUGGAAAUAACUUGAAUUUUAUGCUAUACAUGAAAUGAAAUUAUGAAGAAUCAGUUUUAAUGAGACCAAUAAUUAUAAGUGUAACAUGUUAUUUUUCACGUCGAAAUGAUGAAAACAUGUAAUUACCUAAAUUUCUUUCCGUCAUAGCUUCUAUAAAAGAAGCAAUCAUGUCCUCAUCGCAACUCUCUACUGCCAAGUACAAGGGAGACUUGUCUUCCUUGUUCUUGUGGUAGGAAACUUCUAGGUCUUCAUAAAGGAGGAAACAGGCCACCUCUUGGCAACCCUUGAUGACUGCAUCAUGCAAAGGGGUGUUUCCUUUAUUAUUCUUCAUCCUCAGCAAGCUAGCAAGUUCAAGUGUUUUAUGAGGAUCAAUUUUCACAUGGUUGACGAGAUUUUGAAUCGUGUCAAACCGUCGAGCCCUGGCAGCCAGAUGUAGCGCAUUAUCACCCAGGAAAUUUUUCCUGGUGAUUAGGAGGAGGAAGUGAUGACACAGUAGGUGUGUCACAUCUUCGCUUCCAUGGCUUGCUGCCACAUGAAGCAGUGAAUUUCCAGAGGCAGCAACAUGUUUGAAAAUGAUAUGGAGCACUUCCUCUGAUGAAACAUGUUCCAGUUUAUCGGACAAGAGACCAAACAAGGCAUUGAAGUUGUCUUCCUUUGCAUAGGUAUAAACCUCCUUCUCCAGUAUUUUAUUUGGCUCAGAAAAACCAUAAUCUGCAAUCGGAACUGGGAAUUUAACUGCCUUCCAUCGUUCAAGCUCCUCAUGUAUUUGCAUAGAGAGUUGCAACGUGCUGGAAGAUUGUAUAAUGUCGGUUGAGUGCUCCAUCUCUUCUUGAGUGACUUAACUUUGCUGCGGUUGUAUCAGUGGUAAAUUGGUAAUUACAUGUAUUGUUAUUUGGCCAAGCAAACUAAAGAAUUCAUUGAAAACAUGAAUGCAAGGGAUAAGCUAAUUAAAGUAUUAGUGAGAGAAAACGUACAUUAGCUACAUAAUUUUUCUCAAUACAAUUAUUUAGGAGCAUAUAUAUAAAUGUUUAAAUUCAAGUAAAAAUCAAGUUGUUAAUUCUUAUUGAUCGGUUAUGUUCGAAAAUAUGGUUGAUGAUUAUUUUUUAAAAUGUUUUUUACUUGAAAAAUAAUGUUUUUUUAUUUAAAAAAAAAUUAUUUUUGAUAUCAUUAUAUUAAAAUUAUCUUAAAAUACUAACAAAAAAUAUUAAUUUAAAAAAAUUAAUUGUUUUCAAAAAUAUUUUUAAAUAAUAAAAUAACAGGUCAAAUUCCAAUUAAGGCAUUCUUUUAUAACCAGGUCCAACAAUAACUAAGGGUUUGUGUAUUGUAUUUACAAAUAAAAUAAUGUUUUAUGACUUUUAAUAUAUUUUCUAACAGUAUUAUAUAAAUUAAUAAAUUAUAUACAUAAAUAUAUCAAGUUAAUAUAAAUUUUAUUAGCGCAAACAACUGAUGCAAGUUUGUUAAGAAUUUGAAUAGACAAGUAUUGUGCGUGUACAGUGAUGAGUUAAUUAAAAUCCAAAGUGCACAGUGUUAAGUGAUUGAAAUUGUAAGACCGGGGAAGAGAAGAGACUUACCUGGUAGUUCUGGAGAUGAGGACGUGAUGGAGGACUGGUCGACUAGUUAUUGUCUUCCUCUGCUUUCACCUCUGUUUAUAAAGAGUUGUUAUAAACUGUGAAUGUUAUUGACUGCAUCGCGAAUUACGGUAGAAAUGUUUUUCUCGUGUUUUGGGUUUGAUAAUUGCUAAAAGCACUCUAGUUAGGGAGACAUAAAGAUUGGGGCUAGUCUUGCCACCGAAAGUUGUAAAGAAUACAGCUGGCGGAGUUGUCUUUUUAUAUAGAUAGAAAAUGACCAGUUUGAAUUUUGGUGAAGUAGGACGACCAGGCUGCAGAUAUCUACUGCUCGGCACGAUCCAGAUAAGAAACAGCUGGCGUAAGGGCCAGUCAGCAAGCUCAUUAGUACCGGACUACUAACACUUUUCGUGAACGGCGGAGCUAAACUGUUACUAAUCCUGGUUGUAAAGCUAAGUUAGAGCUUGAAAAUUCUUACUUGAUCGUGAUGGUUUUGCACUCUUGUGAUUUUUUAUUUAAAUUUCUUUUUAAAAUCUAAGCUAAAACCCGAUGUUGCUGAGAAGAGAUAAUAAAAAUCCCAUGGUGCUUCUCUAGUAUUAAUAAAGAUAAAAUAGUGGAUCUUAAUAAAUGAUAGAAGAAAAAAAUAUUUUUAAAGAGUAGGUUUUACAAAAAAAACAAAAGGGAAAAUCUUUAUUUCUUACUUUAGUAGAUAUAUUUGUAGGAGACAGCGCCCUCUCCUGGGGUUCGGGGCGGAGCCCCGUUUUUUUUUUUUUUUAUAGAGCUCCAAAUAAAAUUUAGUUAAAAUAAUAAAAACACAACUAAAAUUAACCUUGCAAAAAUAUAUAGGACUUAACGACAGUAUGAUUCUCACAGAAAAGGAACAAACAAAUAAAAGCUCUUAGCAUUAGUUGCACUUGCAAUCUUAAACCAAAGAUCAGCACACUCCUUUCCAAUUGGACCGGUAAUUGCUGAGCCUUCAUUUUUCCUUUGGGGUUCACAAUGACACUAGUAUUAUCUUCAAAAUACAUGAAAUAUCAAGUAGGGGGGUUUAACUAAUUCAACUAAUAUAUAAAUAUCAAGUAGGGGGGGUUUAACUACACAUAUAAAAAAUAAUAUUUUCAAUCUUUUCCUUUUUCAUUCUAUAUUUGUCUUGACUUUUGACAUGUGAACACUGAACACUUUAUCGAGGGAUAAAAGUAUUUCUUUUGUAUAAAAGGGAUGUGCAUUUUUUCCACAUGCUUUUGCAUAAAGGGACCUGCUUUUCUUUUAUCUACUUGGUUUCAUGUAUUUUCCGGGCUAUUUUGGUUUUUUUACGAGUUGGUGGAAAUCUUGUUGGCUAGUAUCAUUAUUUUACACUUGGACAUGGCUGGAAUUCUUGCCAUUUAGACUAAUCAAUUUAUCAUUCAUCUUUUUCACUUUGUUGUUGUUGAUAUCAGCUUGCUCUUCACAAGAAACAAAAUUGGAUUAUUGGUUUUUUUUUAAUUUUUUUCCUUAAUUAACCGAAUCCAAAUAAGUUGCCUUGAACUGGCGGUUUGGUUUUAUUUUUAAAUUAAAAAUAAAUAAAAAUUCAGUUUGGUUGGUUUUUUAAGUAAAAAUUAAACUGAAAAUGCUCACCUCUACAUGUAGUUCUGGAGAUGAAUAUGUGAUGGAGGACUGGUCGACUAGUUACUUGCUUCCUCUGCUCUCACCUGUGUUCUUGCUUUUCUCUGAUCGGUUUCUUCCUGUCCGUCCCGUGUUCUGCGUGUGUUUCGUUCUCCUGUGGCCUUCUGUUUUUGCUCGUCUUCUCUGUAUUAUCUCUGUUCUUGCGUCUGUGUUUUUGUUUGUGGUCUUUGGUCCAGUGUUCUCUGUGUAUUAUCUGCGUCUCCUCUCUGUCCGGUCGUCUUUGUUUUUCCUGGGUUUUUUUCGUUCGUUCGUCCUCUUCGUCCUUCCCCUUCCUCCUGGAGGCCUUUCUUCCUCUGGCUUUAUAGCCAGAGAAUGCCAUACGUUUCAGUAACGUAUUGCAUCGUGGGCAGCUGAGGCGUUGAGGCGUUGAGGAAGAUGAACAGCUCGUCUGGAAACGGCGCCGUUGAUUUUCUGUCGGUUUGGUCACUGAAGUGUGGAGAUUUCACAAUCAAGCCCCUUAAUCAGGAAAUUCCUUCCACUUGUUUUUUAAUUUCGCCCCCUGGAUAAAUUGUAAUUAAACCUCUGGAUUUUAGCAUCUUUUACUAAACAGUCCUUAGUUUCUGAAUGUUUCAAUUCAGUCCUUAAUUAAUUUUUCAACUUUUAAUUAUUUCAAAAUUAUCCCUGGAAAAAUCAAUUAAGCUCCCUAGAGUAACCCCUGCAUUUUCACUUUGAUCCUUGGACUUUAAUUCCUUACAAUUUGAACCCAAAUCAGCCCCCAAACUUUGGUAUUUUUUCAAUUUAGUAUUCACUCUUUUAAUAGUUUUAUUUUUUGAGUUUUUUUUGUUAAAUUGAAUUUUGUUUUCAAUUUUACCUUUCAAUAAAAAAAUAUUUUUUAUUUUAAUUUAAUUUUCAUGUUUUCAAUUGCUAUUUUUUUUUUAACUUUUAACAUUUUAUUGGUGGGGAAUUAUACUAUUUGUUUUUUAUUCAAUCUCAUGCUUUUAUAUUCAAUGAGUCGAGAAUUGAGUCACAUCAUUUAUUUAUUUUUAAAAUAAAAAUUUUUUCAAGUUAUUAUAAUUUUUUUUUAAUUUGUUUUAUAUGCUUAAGCUCAUUAUUUAUUUAUUUUUUCUCUGGUUUCAAUCUUCCAUAUUAGGUUUGCUCGGAACCAAGCUCUUAUACCUUUUUUUUUCCUUUUUUUGUUGAUGUUUAUUAUAAGUUAUCAUUUAAACUUUUUUUUAUUUGAUUCAAUCUAUAAUCUAUUUACCGUUGUUUUUUUUUAUCAUUUAAUUAAAUGUUAUCAGCUUAUCUGACUUUGUCACAAAGAUUUUUAACUUUUUUAGAGCACAAUUGCAAUAUUUGAACAAUUUUAUUAGCUAAUAUUUUUUUUUUCAUUUAACUUGUUGCAUAGCGUUGGGCUAUGGAUUUAGUAAUCACUACCACUUGUUUAAUUAGGAUCAGUGAAAGCUAAUUUUUAGUCAUCACUUCUUGUUUCUUUUUUUAUUGUUUAAUAAAAGUAGUUCAUUCCUUGAAUUAUAACGAAACUAUUUUAUAAUUAUGCAAAAAAAUUUUUUUCCUUUUUCUUGUUAUAUCGUAAUUACGAUAUUUAAUCUAUUUUUGUGUAACAUUGUUAAGCCAUUAUUUGUUAAUUAUUUUUUUUAACUUCAACCAUUAUUGUUUUUUCCCCUAGCAUUUUAGAAAACACCCUAGAGAUCGGAAAAACAAAAAGAGUAUGUUAUAUUAACAGCUCCAUGCCCGUGUAAUGCUUGUGCUAGCAGAUAGGUGGCGCUAGCUCCAUUUGGGUGGUAUUUUUUAGCGACCUAACACUAGUUUUUAUUGUGUCAUUAGAAGUACUGCAGUAUACUUUUUUUUUAAGGACGACACGUGGUAUUAUUGAGGUAGCGGUGGGAUGUUGAUUUACUUUUUUUCUCAUCCUAGUUUACUUUUUUUUUUUUUUGAAAAUCAUGUUGAUCAUGUGAAAUUUCAAAGUUAUUUUCUAAUUCAUUGAGAUGUCAAAUUUAUUAUUUAUUUUUGAUCUUGGUCAUUUUGUGAAAUUUUGAGUUAUUUUUAAUUUUAUCCUUCAAUCUUAAUUUGUUAUAUAUUAUAUUUUUUUAAUUUAAUCGUCAUUCUUUUGAUAGUUUUAUUUUUUGAAUUCUUUUAUUAAAUUGAAUUUUCUUUUCAAUUUUACCCUUCAAUCAAAAAUAAAAUUUAUUUUUAAUUUUAAUUUUGAUUCUCAUUUCUUCAAUUAUUAUUAUUUUUUAUCUUUCUGUAUAAUUGAUUUUUCUUUUUUUCUUUUUUAAAUUUUAACAUUUUAAUUAGUUGAGAAUUAUAUUAUUUUUUUAUUUUAUAUUUAAUGGGUUGGGAAUUGAUUCACAUCAUUUAUCGUCUUUUGAAAUAAUAUUUUUUUCAAGUUAUCAUGAUCAUUUUUUCUUAAUUUGUUCUAUAUACUCUAGCUCAUUGUUUAUUUUUAUUAUUAUUUAAUUAAAAUAAAACAAAUCUAUUUAUAGUCUAGUCUAUAACUGGUCUAUCAUUCAUUUUUCUCUAUGCUUUAGAACAUUAUGUUUUAUAUGAAAGAAAAGGAAUCCAACCCCGCAUCAUAGCUCAGGUCCACGACUAGUACAUACUAUAUUUAUCAAAAACGCACGCGAUUAGUUGUUGUCAAACUAUUUAGUGCUAAGAAUUCGAAAGUCAAGUACCCUGCAACAUGGAAGAACUCUGAAGAGACACACCAGUGACAUGUAUGUUCUGCUCUAUAUAUAACCAAAGUCGUUACAAGAGAGAAGAGAAAGAGCUUAAUAUCUAUUUGUUACAAGAGAUACAAAUUAGAAAAGAAGACAAAAUACUGAUUUUGCAUUUGAAACUAUCAAUCUAAAGGAAAAAAAAUAUUGGAUAAGAACAAAACAGACUUGGGAUGUGAUGAUGACUAUGAAAGAUCUAGUGUCUUCUUGCCGCGUCAUUGCCAGGAUGAAUGUAAAUGCUAAACCCAUGCAGAGAAGGGAGUAAAAAUUAAGAGAUGUCGCCUUCUCCAUGCUUGAUGUUACAUCACUGGCACGACCUAAUGAUAUCUGACAAAGGAUUAUAGCGGCGAUGAGGGAGCAAUUCAUAGCUAGCAUGUCAAAACAAAUAUAUAAACUCAUCAUAUUUUUUGACCAAUCACUGCUAAGAUCAGAACCUGAUCCAGGCACAGUGAUAGCACCAGCGAAGGUUACUCCAGCUACCAGUACUGCCACCACGAGAAGAUUCCCUACCCCUCUGUUCAGUUCCUCCGUCGUUAACGUCGUUCUUGGUAAAUCACACUCAGUCUUAUCAUCUGCCUCCACCAAAACUUUAAAUACCUUACGCUGAACAACAAAGUGUUAAUUAGAAAAUAUAUGGAUUUAAUUGGAGAAUUGAUAAGUUUUGAGACUUAAUUAAACUUGUAAUUAAUUUAAUUAAUCCAAUAAGGGGCUUAAUUGGAAAAGCGAUAAGUGUUAGACUUAAUUGGACUUUGGAUUUAAUGAAAUUAGGGACGUAAUUGAAGAAAUAGCAAAGUUUGGGGUUAAUUGGGGGCACGAUUGAAACAGAGUAAAGUCCAAGAACUAACUGGUAAAAGGCGCCGAAAUGUCUGGGAAAUUACAGUUUAAACCAGGGGUUUAAUUACAAGACUCGAAACUGCACAGGUCAAAAUGUAAAAUGGCCACAUUUCACAUCUCAAGACGGCGCCGUUUUAAGAGACACUGUUCGUCUUCUUCAAAACUAGAAACGAACACUGCACGAUCCUUAGUCCCUCAUUAUUUCUGCAAACGGUCGGUCACCUCAUUAUUUAGGGGUGACCGCAUGGCAUUCUCUGGCUAUAUAAAAGCUAGAGAUAGGUCAUGCACGGGGGGGGGGUGAAACAAAAAAAGACGGGACGAAGAGAGACAGAACCAGGGGAAAAUUUUGGCCCCUCAACCAGUAGCAAAUCCUCGUGCUUUUACCACUAUUGUCUUCGUCUUGAACGCAGAAGACUGGGCAGAGACACAAAAAAGGAAGAGAAACUGAGGAGAACAGGAAAAGGACAGGGAAACGAACAAGAUAGAGGAGAGCAAAUUUUCUGCCCCUGUUUCUUCUCAAAGGAACAGAGGCUGUCCUCUGGCUUUAUAAAAGCCAGAGAAGGCCACGGAGGAAAAAGGGGAUCACUGCCUUCUCCAUCUCCAACACUAGAGAUGGAAGACGGAGAGAAAAACAAAGAGACGAUAAAGGGAGAGGACGAACAAAAAAACACAGGGAGGAACAGAGACCGGAGAGGAAAAACAAAGAAAUCACAGAAGGGAGAUUAAAGAGAAAACAGAGGUAAAUAACGAACAAACACUAAGGGGCUGACUGAAGCAAGCUUCAACGGGGAGAGGAAUGAAAAAACAAUGAGGGGCUGACUGAAGAAAGCCUCAACAGGAGAUUGAACACGAAGAAAAGUCAGGGGAAGGAGAGUACUAGACAGAGAAAUAAAAAACAGAUACAGAGAGAGAGAGAGAGGGAGAGAAUCCUGAGAGCAGAAGAAAGCAAGAGAAAAAGCAAAAGAAGGGAAAUAAAUUUUUUAUAUGUUUUCUUUUAUUCUAUAGGUUUUGACAAUUUAAAAAAUCUUUUUAAAUGAGUAUUGAUUGUUCCUAUAUUUGCAAUUAGUAGAAGCUUGAUGCUUGAUUCUUCUUUAUCUCUCUAUACGACCCAUGACCAAUCGUUUUCUUUUGAAGUUAGAUUUGUACUCUUGAGGAUGAAUGAAGGAAUGGGUAUACACAAGAGUUAAAAGGUUGACAACACAAGUAGUCAAUAUUAGAAAAAAAAUUGAGGAUAAAGAGCGAAACCUCAUUCUACAAGCCAUUGGUGCAAACAAUACUAGUUAAAAGGAUAACUUUAGGUUUAAUCUUACUGGAUAGAAUAAAAGGUUUUGAAAGGUAACGAGGCAUUGGUGAUCGAUGGAAGGUAAUCUAGGAAAUAAAAUUAUGAUUGUCAUGGGAGGAACAUGGCAUAAGGAGGUAGAUUUGGUAUAAAUAACUCUAUUUGAGAUUCUAGAUCUAGAGUGGAAUACAAUGAUAAGAAAUAUUUUUAUUGUCAUUGCAAAUGUCAUAUAUAAUCCAAUUUUUGAUCAUUUUAUUGCAUAGAGAGUCACUCAAGAAGAGAGUGGAAUAUUUUUAUUGCCAAUAUUGCAAAGGCCAUGUUUGGCAUCAUUGUGACAAGAUGAAAGCCGCCUUAGAAGAAUUACGAAGUCUAGAGAUGUUACGAAUACGAUGAAAUAUGGGAGCAAAGAUGAUGAUAUUCUCAUGGAUCAUAAAUGUAAUAAGGUUUUGAAAAAUUCAUGGAUUGUAGAUUUUGCAUGCUCCUUUCAUAUUUAUUUAAAGAAAGAAUGUUUUGAUCCUUACAAAGAAUAUGAUGGAGCAAUGAAAACCCUUUGUGAUGUUAGUCACAUGCCAAGACUUCAAAGAAAGAAAGAAAGUUUCUGAAACCGAAAAUCUUACCAUUUUGCGAACUUCUGCUUCCUGCGAUUUGUUCCAUACACCUCUCGCAGCAUCAUCCCCAUGCUUGGUAUCGAUUCGCUUGCUCUGAUCAAGGACAAGCAAAGACAGUAUUAAUUUGUAAGUAUACAUUCGAAACUGAAAUCAGUUUUUGUAAUGUUAAAGGUUGUCCUUUUCAUUAUCAUUUUUUGCAAGUAUAUAUGAUGAUUGAUUUGGAGUAUGAUCCCCCGUGAUGUUCAAGAGCAAUUGCAAGCCCAUUAAUUGGCACCAUAAGGUCAGUUUUUCGAAAAGGCUCAGCAUAUAAGCAUACCAUUCCAUCUGACUUUGGUGCAUCAAAGCGUCCGCCUCGCAAUAAUUUCGCAAAAACACCAGAUGGUUUCAACUUUUCAUUAUUAACAAUCCUUUUAUCCACCCGCAUGUCACUCGCUAGUGCCUGCACUAUCUCAGAACGGCAAUACAUUGCAGCCAAGUGCAAAGGUGUAUUUCCAUCGUAAUCCUUCUCAUUUAUAAGUGCUUCCAGAUCUCGAUUUCCCAAUAUUUCAUCCACUAUUCUCAUCUGUCCACUCUUCGCUGCAACGUGAAGAAUAUUCUGUCCUUUUUCGUUGAGAAAAUCCAUUGGAUCGAACCAAUAAGUAAGUAGUUCGCGUACUACUUCAAGAUGCCCCUUCUGGCAUGCAUCAUGGAUGGGUAAGUUGCCUUCUUCGUUGCUUUGUGAAGCGGCAACAGGACAUCGACUAACCAGGAGUCUUGCUCCAGAAAGGAAGCCCAUGGAUGCUGCAAGAUGAAGGAGAUUUCCCCCUUUUAUGUCCUCGGGAAGCAUUAUAUCCGGCUUGCCGACCGCUAGUUUUUCUAGUGCAGCAUAAUUUAAAAAUGAGAUAAUCAAUACAAAAAACACAAAAUGCAUGGAAAUAACUUGAAUUUUAUGCUUUACAUAAAAUGAAAUCAUGAAGAAUCAGUUUUAAUGAGACCAAUAAUUAUAAGAGUAACAUGUUAUUUUUCACUUCGAAAUGAUGAAAACAUGUCAUUACCUAAAUUUCCUUCCGGCAUAGCUUCUAUAAAAGAAGCAAGCAUCUCCCCGUCGCAACUCUCUACUGCCAAGUACAAGGGAGACUUGUCUUCCUUGUUCUUGUGGUAGGAAACUUCUAGGUCUUCAUUAACGAGGAAACAGGCCACCUCUCGGCAACCCUUGAUGACUGCAUCAUGCAAUGGGGUGUUUCCUUUAUUAUUCUUCAUCCUCAGCAAGCUAGCAAGUUCAAGUGUUCUAUGAUGAAUUUUCACAUGCUCGACGAGAUUUUGAAUUUUGUCAAACCGUACAGCCCUGGCAGCCAGAUGAAGCGCAUUAUCACCCAGGAAAUUUUUCCUGGUGAUUAGGAGGGGGAAGUGAUGACACAGUAGCUGUAUCACACCUUCGCUUCCAUGGCUUGCUGCCACAUGAAGCAGUGAAUUUCCAGAGGCAGCAACAUGUUUGAAAAUGAUACUGAGCACUUCCAGUUCAUUGGACAAGAGAUGAAACAAGGCAUUGAAGUUGUCUUCCUUUGCAUAGAUAUAAAACUCCCUCUGCAGUAUUUUAUUUGGCUCAGAAAAACCAUACUCUGCAAUCGGAACUGGGAAUUUAACUGCCUUCCAUCGUUCAAGCUCCUCAUUUACUGGUCUCGGCAUAUCUAUUUGUAAUUGCAUAGAGGGUUGCAACGUGCUGGGAGAUUGUAUAAUGUCGGUUGAGUGCUCGAUCUCUUCUUGAGUGACUUGACUUUGCUGCGGUUGUAUCAGUGGUAAAUUGGUAAUUACAUGUCUUGUUAUUUGGCCAAGCAAACUAAAGAAUUCAUAGAAAACAUGAAUGCAAGAAAUAUGCUAAUUAAAGUAUUAGUGAGAGAAAACGUACAUUAGCUACAUAAUUUCUCGAAAUACAAUUAUUUAGGAGCAUAAUGUCAAAAUUAAACUGUUAACGCGUUGUCGAUUUUUUCAAGUAAAAGUUUUUUUUAUAUAUUUACAUCCAAAAAUAACUACGGGUUUGUGUAUUGUAUUUAUAAAUAAAAUAAUAUUUUACGACUUUUAAUAUAUUUUCUAAUAGUAUUAUAUAAAUUAAUAAACUAUAUGCACAAAUAUAUCAAAUUAAUAUAAUUGUUUUUAGCCGCAAACAACUGAUGCCAGUUUGUUAAGAAGAAUUUGAAUAGAAUCUUAAGAAAUAAUUCUCAUAAUAUAUGAAGGAGAAAAUAAUACAUAGAUAAAAGUCAAUUCUCUCCAUAAUAAAGAUCAUUCUCAAAAUGCACACUCCAAACACACUAAAGCAAAAUGAAAGGUUUAAUCAUCAUACAAUCCUGACAUAAAAAAAGAAGUCAGACCAAUCCCUCGUAUCCAUACACUCUAAAUUUUGUGCCAAUAACAAAAAAACUAAAUGCAAAAUCUAUAAAUAGUUUUUUUUUUAAAAAAAAAACAGUGAAUAUCUUCUCUUUUGAAGAAUGAGAGAUAGAGUGUACAGUGUAGGAAAAAUUAUAAUUAACCUAAAUACAGGGAUCAUACCUCCUUUCUCUUGUUUACGAAGACGUUUCGGGUAUUUUUCAUGCACUUUCGAUGAAUUGCAAAAAAAAAAAAAACCCAAACAAAUUUAAACUGAAAUAUUGACACCAAAAAAGAAAAAAAAAAACACCGAACCAUUACACUAAUCAUGAGAUUCCAUGUUAAAAUGAAAAGGAAAUAAUAUAUAAGAAAAUCAAUUCUGAAGGAGAACCAUGUAAAUGUGUACCUGUAUAUUAGUGUAAACUGAGAGAGAAGGAGCGUGAAGGGAGAUGACGAAGAAGACCAGUUUCCUGCAUGCAGAAGUACUUUCCCUGCCAAUAAUUAGACAAAAUUAAGAGACUUGUGCAUACUGAGAGGUUUUUUAAGCUCUAAGAAACAAACUCCUUAGGUAAUAAGGUUUCUAAAAGAAAAAAAAAAGGUUUCUUUGCUUUUCACUUUUCUAUUUAAAAGAGAGUGUGCUGAACGAGCAACACGUUGGCAUCCAUUUCAAGCUUUAAAAUUAGAAAAUGUGAUUUUAGAUAUAUAUUUUUUUAAAAAUAUAUUUUUUAUUUAGAAAUAUAUUAAAAUAAUUUUUUUAUUUUUUAAAAUCAAUUUUUAUAUUAACGCAUCAAAAUCAUCUUAAAACACAAAAAAAAUAUUAAUUUAAAAUAAAAAAAUUUUAAUAUUUUUUUUAAAAUAUUUUUAAAACAUAAAAACAAAUAUUAUUGACUGAACUCAAAUUCUUUUGGAUGCAUAUAGUACUUUUUUCUUUCAGAAUCUUUUCUUUUCUAUUUAAAAGAGAUUGUGAUGAACGAGCAACACAGUGACAUCUAAGAUGAAGUGACCAGGUUGUUUUAAUAAUCCUUUUAUAAUAUCAAGCUUUAAAUUUGACAAAUUUAUAAAUUAGGUUCCUCUUAUCAUUAAUCCGAAUUCCUAAUAAUUUUUAUUCAAAUUUGACCACAUCUUUUGUUCAUUGUAGCAUUAAGCUUUGUUGAACAUCAAUUACUAAUCAUACCUGAAUUUAAGCCAUUCAAAUAGCUACCAUCGCCGCCCUGCGGUCACCAAAUCAAACGUACAUCAUACCUCUAUUUUCUAUGCUUUUAUUCAGUUUUGUAAUUGCUUGCUUCCAGUUCUUGUGCUUAGAUACUCGGUUUGCUGAUUAAGUUACAUAUUCCCUGAUCUUUUGUUUGCGGAUUCGAUUUUUAUCCCACUUAUUUUUAUUUUUCCAAUGAAAACUUUCAAUCAACAAGUUUCUCAUCAGAUAUUUGUGUUUCAUCGGUCAUUUCAUCAUAAACUUUGUUUUUUUUUUUUUUUUUUAUGGAAUGACCAAUAAAAAUAUUCAUGCUAAAAAAUUAGAUUUUAUCACCCAUUUGUCAUCGGGAAGUCCGUCCAAGAAAAGGAGCAAAUAUUACCGCUGAAAUCAUGGAUAAAAAUACACUUUAAUUUCCAAUGGAAAUUCCUUCAUCAAUUCCAUUGGAAAUACCUAAACUUUAUGUAAAUUUCGAUGAAAUGUGAGUAAAUAUUGCCGACAAAAAUGCAAUUUUUUUGGUGAUUCUGUUUGUGUUCCAUACUUUUUUUAUGUUGUUUAGUUUUUAUAAUCCCAAAUGCAUUUUUUAUUAACACUAAACUCAUAACAACAACAAUAAAAUUAAAAAUAUUAUAACAAAAUUCCAUACAUAAAAAUUUUGUAAAUAACAUAUUAAAAUUUUUAAAAAGUUGGAGGAGGUGAAAAAAAUCAUGAUCUAUAAGCUCCAUGAGAGGGAGGAAAAUGUAAAGCCAAAUACGCACGUAUUUGCUCUCAUUUUCUAUUAUUUCUUGUUUGAUUUUUGCUUUUAUUUCUUCUAUUAGUUCUGUCAUUAUUUAUGCUCUUAUAUUAUGCAACUCAAUAGCCAAUUGUUAUGGAAUCCUAUCUCAAACCAUCUCCUUAAUGGUCAAUGAUGUCUGGUUGAAAUUGGAAUAUUUUGUGCCUACCAUUGAAACACUACGACUCACCCUUGUAUCUUGGUCAAUGCUAUAGACAUACCACAAACUAAAUUCUUAUCAAGUCUAUUAAUUGCUCUAUCCUUCAACCACAAAUAAGAAUCGUUAGGAGGAUGGUUGUAAUUGUGUUUUUCAUGUUUAACAGCCAUGUUGGCAUUAUAUAUAUUUGUCAAAACAAAACAAAAGGUCAAAAUCCAAUUAAACUUAAAAAAAAUAGUAAUACAAUUAUAACUAUCCAAAAAUACUUACAAUGAACUCUUUCACUGUUUCACUAUAUUAUUGAUAAACCUUUUUAUCUUUUUUGCUUAUCCUCUUUUUUUAUAUGAGUUUCCUAAUAUAACUUCAUUGGAGUAUGUUCGCACCAAAACUGUUUUUCCUAUACAAUAAAUAGUUUGUAAAAAAGUCUCAUAAAUAAAAAAUAAAUUAAUAAUUAAAUAAACAAUAAUUAAAUAUAUAGCAAUGCUCUUAUUAGGCUAUUUGCAUGGUUCACCAAGGAAAGUGCUCCUCAAGUGUGCAUGCUCAUCAAACCAUGAAUUUUCUUUUUUCCUAUUGUUUUGAGACCUAGAUUUUGAGCACUUUUUAAAACCAUAUGAUGCCAAAACUUCUUGAAACUUAGCCCAAUUACUCUUUGUGACGUGUCUCGAUCUAAAAUUUUUCCACAAUACUAUGUCAUCAAAGUUGGCUCUGUUCAUUGAAUAUCUAGAAACAUCAUGCCACAAAUCACGCAACCUAGUAUAGUAAUUUAAUAAACAAAAUUAAGAUAAGGAAAUGAAAUAUUAUAGUUUUACAAUAAUAUAAUUGUUUUUUGCAUUAUACUUACCUAAUUACAAUGUGGUUUUCCCACACAUUUCUUACAACCCCCUCAUUUUCCUUGUCCUGGUAAUUUUUUUUCCUUGUAGUCAAACAUUAGUUAUUUUUAAAAAAUUUUAAAAACUAUAUAUUAACUCAAUGUAUAUAUUAUUUAUUUAACCAUUAACUUUUCCCAAAAACAUCUACUAUAAUCAUACAUUUAGAAUGAUCUUAAAGUUGACUCUAUUAAAACAAUGGUUUUUCAAAAACAAAUUUAAGAUUAAUUGUAUUAAAGAGAAAAACUAUAAAAAAAAAAAACACAAAAAGUGUACCUAAGAUGUACAUCAUCUUGUAACCCAAAUCAAAUGACCUUAGACAAUAGGGAAAAAAACAAAAGCUAAAAAAAAUUAAAAAUUUCUGAAAAUAAGACUGCUUGAAUAAUAGCAUAGAAAAUCAAUUCAUCAAAAUCAUUUAAUGUAAAACUUAAAAUAAUCUAUUACAAAUAAAUAACUUCAAUGGUAAGAGAAAAAACAUGACUUACAUUGUGUCGUUGGCUUUUUAUGUUGCAAUAAGUUUUCUUGAUACAGGGUCUCUAGAAGAAGGGAUUCUACCUUUUUUGUUUGUGAAAUUCAUUGUUGUAAAUGAGAUCAUUGCAUAAUUAGUUGGCAUCAAAGGACAUAAUAAUCUCUCUCUUUGUAUGAUUAAUAGAAAUGAUACUGUGAAUCUGUAAAUUAUGCCAAAAACGCUUUAUUCUGUUUCUAAAGGACUCGAGGCUAUUGCUCUAAGAGUUGAAGUGCCUAUGUUCAAAUCAUUUUAAAAUUACCUGCAUUAUUGCAUUUUUGUUCCACUAGAAAUUGUUUCUGAUGUUUUUGACAUCUACAAAUACUGCAAGGUCCUAUCCUGGUACUACUACAUCUGCUUGGUGUGGCCUUGUUAAGUUAACUGGGAAUUUGCAUAAUGUUUCCAGGCUGAUGCUUUUGAAAGCCAGCGUGGACAAUGCAUUGAUAUCACCUGGAAAGUGAUAAUUUAUUUAAAUAAAACAGACUUUACCAAGGUGAUGGAAACAAUGCUAUACUGCCCUGACAAAUAAAUGUAUAAAUGACAUUCGAGAGUUAAACUGGUUUUGCUUACACCAUUGUGCAUAGAACUGCUUAUUUCCUUUUCUGAAGAAUGUUCUUUGUACGCUUAAUUGAACUAGUCUCUUUAAGUGUUCAAUGGUUCUCACCAACCAUUUGUCAAAGAAAUAAAGAAGUCUGUUAAUUUUAUUGGUUUGCCAUUCCAACAGGGGCUGGAUCCCCUUUAAAUUGUGCAUGCAACUUGUUAGCAAACCUCUUAUUUUGGUAGGCAGAGUUUAUCCGUGUUGUGACUUCAGAUAAUAACAAUGACUGAUUUGGUCAAUCUCUCAAAAAGUUUUCUGUAUUCCCGAGAGUAAUAAUCCUAAUCAUCAUUUUAGGUUAGUUGACAGAAUAUCUUUCUUGGUUAUUUCUUAGUUCAUAUGAACCAAACCUGCCUCAUUCCUCCCCUCAUGCGAGGUAGUUAAGUAGUGUAUGAGCCCUAGUACUGGUUUCAAGAUAUGACUUAUCACUGUGUAUAUGUCUGUAGUUAGUUUAGCUGAGAGUUCAAACAAGUGUUUAUGGUGUUAAACGUUUUUCAAUCAUAAAUUGUUUUGCAGAUAUAAUUGAUGAAUUGGUGAAGAAUGGGAAAGAGAUAAGGCUGUAUAUUUUGCUUCUGAAUCUGGUUUGACGAAAAGAUUUUCUCCUGUAUCUCUACUCAAGUCAUAUCUUAAGAAUUCCAAGAAGAUCACAACUACUGUCUUGAAGAAUGGCAAUUAUAGUGUAGCUGCAACGGUGUGUCUAAUCUCUAUCUACAUUGUGUAAUUCUAAUGACAUGAAAUAUUUGAGUCUUAUUAAUUUUUUUGCAGGAUGAGUCAAGUACCUUGGAGUUGAAUUCUAUUAAAGCAAUCAUCAAAUGUGUGGAAGAUCAUAAGCUUGAAUCAGAAUUUUCCCUUGACAGCUUGAGAAAACGGGCUUCUCUGCUUGAAAAAACCAAAGCAGAGAGGAAGAGGGGUACAUCAGCUGCCACUGCUACCAAGUCUCAAAACAAGCGAGGCCAUGGUUCAAGUGGUGGCCGGGACAGUGGACCUACUCCUUAUCGUCAAGCCAAAGCUGCCAAAUUUUCAAACAAUUAUUCCUCUUUCAGCCGCAGGAAUGCUCCUCUCCCUGCACAGCAUAGCCCGGCUAGAAGAUAUUCAGGGCCAUUCCACUACCCUAGCCAGAGUGUCUACGAGGGCCCCGCAGCAGCCCCGUAUGCAUCAACUUAUGGUAUCUCGCACGCUCAAAGCCCUUCUGCAAUCUCUCAACAACCCUACCAUCACUCUCAAAGCCCCAGUGCAAUUCCUCAACAACUCUACUCACAGCCAGCGGAGAACAUGAGUGCUGCCGGUUUCCGUGCCAGUGGUUCUUAUGGAAGCCAGACCGGUUACGGGGCAUAUGAUUACGGCUCUGCUGCACCCGUUACUUACCAACCUUCAUCCUACACUCAAUAAGAUGGGAGGAACCUAGCCAGGUGUUAAGAUUCUUAUUUUUAUUUGGUGUCUGAUUUCUGGAUGUGGCCCUCUAAUUUUGGGACCCGCCCCCUUCAUCUCCCUUUCCCGUAUAAAAGUUUUUUUUUGGUCUUAUCUCAUGACUGGAUAUGAUGCCCAUGCCUGUAACGCUGAUUACCUUUAUAUGGAGCUCAAGCUGGAUGUGAUUUCCGUGCUGUGAGUUUUAAAUGGUUUGGCUAUCGAGCAUUGUAUUCUUUCAACUUCUUUCCUUGAUUGGAGUCGCCAUUGGGUGCCUAUGCUUGUGUUUUUGCCAAAUUUUGGUUAAUCAAACCAAUUUCAUUUGCUGCUUGCACUUUUUUAAGAAGGAAGAAAUGAAUAACAAGGAACAUGUUAAUUAAUAGGACUAACUUGUUAAAAUCACAACAAUUUAGUAAUCAUGCUAAAAAUCCAAUUUAGUAAGAACAUGGCUAUAAUGGGUAACAAUUAUCUAGUCCUUGUAAUUGAUAGACAUCAUUCUUUUGGCCACUAGGUCUGAAAAUAACUCACAAACAUUCAGACCAAUGGAGAAACUUGUAUUAGAUGUUCUAUAAAAUGGUUAUUCAUCAUCUAAUUCUCUACAUAAACAAAUAACUACAUAUGGUAAUCAAUAACACCAUUUAGGCUUUCAUUGAUUAGCUCAAUCAAAACUAAAAUGAGCUCAAAUAAAGUUGACCAAGCACUUGUUUUUGUACUGUUUCUUAGGAGACAAGUCUUAUGAUAUCCUUUAAUAAUAAGCACUCUAAUAAGAAUAUUUGGAAGUAGUCAUAUUCUAAGUAUUACAUGUCCACAUAAUAAUAAUUUCAACAUAAUUUGGGUACACACUUCCAAGUGAUCAGUUAAUGUUUAAUUUUACGAUAAAAUAUUUCAUUUUAUUAGUUUAGAGCAAUUAAGGCUUUUGGAAAUAAAAUUAAAUCCUUAAAAACUUGUGAACACCUUUAAUUUUGUCCCAUUGAGGACUAGUUUCUAAUUUUAGUUGUAGUUAUUUUUUAUUUUAAUUUGGUUUUUCCAUAUAUUUUUUGAAAAUUGUCUUGAUAGUUUUUAUUCUUAGAUAUAAUGGUCCAUAAUAUGAAGACAAAGGUCUAGUGCUUGAUUGAUGUUCAAUUUUAUCAAAAUAUGUUUAAAUUGAGUUGACUUAAAGCAAUUAGGGUUUAAAGGACCAAAUUUGAUUAUGAAAUAAAUAUGAGAGACUAAAAUUAAUGAGUAUAGUUAAAAAGGUACAACAGCUUUGGCAGCAUAUGCAACCUUUUCUAGCGGCCAACCCACCCUUCCACGGUGGCGAUCGAUGUAUCUUAGAAUUCUUUUUUGCAAGGGUAAUUAACACAUGUAUUCUUAUUCUUGGUGGUGUGUCGUUAGCGUUAUUUUUUUAUUUUAUUUUAUUUAUAUUUUUCCUCUCUUUUCUUUAAAAUUCAUGCUAGCCAUUUCAAAUUUCGUAGUUGUCUCCUUGUUUUAGUAUUAUUUCAAAUUCGAAUCUUUUUUUAUUACUAAGUUUUUGUUCUAGAUCUUUUUUUAAAAUGUAAAAUUGUUUUCAAUUUUCUCAUUCAAUAAAAAAUUACAAGUUGUCCUUUUUUUUAUUUUUAAAAUUUGGUCCAUAUUUUUUUAAUUCCUAUUUUUAGUUUUUGAUCCUAUAGUGAAAUUAAAUUUUCCUUUCAUUUUCAUCAUCUAAUUUGUUUUUAUUUCUAAUUCUAUUCUUAUUCUUUUGGUUGGCCUUGAUCUCUUUUUCUGUCCUUCUAGGGUGCUGUAAUCACCAUCAACAAAGUGGCCUUUUAAGGAAGAAGUGGCUCAAAUUGUUUAUAUAGUUGGGUUACAUUUUAAUAUAGUCAUGUAUUUGAAAAAGUAUUUAGUUAAUUAAUAUAUAUAUAUAUUACUAAAAAUUCUUUUAAAAUUUUAAUUAAAAUAUAAUAUAAUUUAUAACUUUUUUUAAAUGUAUUUUUUUAAAUCACAUAUCUAUCACAAAGAAAGAUCUUUUCAUAAAUCCCAACUUUCGCAAGAAUAUUAAUCAUGAGUCCUUACAUGUCCUCUUCCUUGUUGAAUUCUACGGCCUUCGAAUGUCAUGUCUAUGCCGAUUUACUCGGGUAUUUCUUUAUGCAUGCAUGCAAAAUAAUAUAAUAAUUAAUUAUUAGUUUAUAGAGGCUGAUAAAUAAAUAAAAUAUAUAGUUUAUUGAGUUUCCAAAACAAAACAAUCGCAUCUUGUGGUCAUCAACCAAAUCUAAUACUGUUUGGAAAAACACUGUUCAUGUAGAUUAAUAAGUACUAUUUAUUAAAACAAAGUAUUAAUGAUAGUUUUGCUUUUCUCGUAAAAGAAUUUGAACCAGUUAUUUAAGAUACUUUCACAAGUUUCAUUUAUUAUUAUCAAGUCAAAUUAAUAAGUGUUUUUGUAUUUUGAAAUCAUAGUAAAAUAAUUAAAAUAUGUUUACAUGUAAAAAAUUAUAAACUAAUGUCCAAGUGCUUUUUAGUAUUUUUACACUAGUUUUUUCAUUAUUAUUAGGUUAGUUGAAGGAAAAACUAGUAUUUUAAUAAAUAAAAAAUAUUAUUUAAAAACAAAAAACGACUAGCCUAUGUAAUGCUUGUGCAAGCAUAUAAGCGGCGCUAGCUACACUCAAGUGGCAUCUCUCAACGAUCAAACAUUAGUUUUUGCCAUGUCAUUGGAAGCACUGCAACAUACUCUUCCUUUAAGAACGACACAUGGUGUUAUUGGGGUGGCGGUGUGAUGUUGGUGACUUUUUUUUCUUCUCAUUCCACUUUACUCUUUCCUCCUCUUGAAAAUCGUGUUGGCCAUGCGAAAUUUCAAAGUUGUCAUCUAAUUUAUUGAGAUGUCAAAUUUAUUAUUUAUUAUUUUGAUUUAUUAUUUUUGUUUUUGGUCAUUUUGUGAAAUUUUGAGUUAUUUUUAAUUUUAUCUUUCAAUCUCAAUUUGUGAUAUAUUAUGUUUUUUUUCAAUUUAGUCUUCAUUCUUUUUGAUAGUUUUAUUUUGAGUCCUUUUGUUAAAUUGAAUUUUCUUUUCAAUUUCACCCUUCAAUUAAAAAAAAAUUUAUUUUUUUUAUUUUAAUUUUGAUCCUCAUUCCUUCAAUUACUAUUUUUUUUUUUCUAAAUAAUUGAUUUUUCUUUUUUUCAUUUUUAAAUUUUAUCAAAAACGCACGUGAUUAGUUGUUGUCAAACUAUCUAGUGCUAAGAAUUCGAAAGUCAAGUACCCUGCAAUAUGAAAGAACUCUGAAAACACACACCAGAGACAUGCAUGUUCUGCUUUAUAUUUAACCAAAGUCGUUACAAGAGAGAGGAGAAAGAGCUUAUCUAUUUGUUACAAGAGAUACAAAUUACAUGAGAUUUAAAUACCCUCCAGUUUGAACUGGAUGUGAUCCUAUUCUCCACCCAUAAAAAUUAUAAGGAAUUUAAUGGGAUUUGCAAGCAGGACAGACAUUACUGAAAAUCUAGAGUAACAAAGUACUUGCCAAUAAUAAAAGAGGAUUGGAAUGUGAUGAUGGUUAUGAAAAUCCAGUACGUUCUUGCACCGUGAUUGCCAGGAUGAAUGUAUAUGCUAAACCCAUGAAGGAAAGGCCACAUAUGAUACAAUAUGUCGCCAUGUCCAUGCUUAUUCUUACAUUACCGGUACGACCUAAUGAUAUCCGACAAAGGAUUAUAGCGGCGAUGAGGGAGAAAUUCAUAGCUAGCAUGUCAAAAAAAAUAUAAGCUCUCAUCAGAUAUUUUGAAGUACCACUGCUAAGAUCAGAACCUGAUCCAGGCACAGUGAUAGCACCAGCGAAGGUUACUCCAGCUACCAGUACUGCCACCACGAGAAGAUUCCCUACCCCUCUGUUCCGUUCCUCCGUCGUUAACGUCGUUCUUGGUGAAUCAAAGAUAAGAUUGAUGCCAAACUCAUUCUUAUCAUUUCCUCCACCAAAACUUUUAAUACCUCACGCUGAACAACAAAAUGUUAAUUAGAAAAUAUAUGGUAAACAAAUUAAUUAUAUAAAGCAUCAUGACAAUGUUAUCUUAAUAUCCCAUAAUAACGAAGAAGUAACUCAUCGCAAUAUAUUUAGUAGAUCAGCGAGGCAUUCCAUAUUUUUGAGCAAGUAAAGAACUUUAUUUCCACUUUGGAUUAAUCAAAUUUUAGGUAAUUAAAAGAAAUCUAUCAUUCCCUUUUCUAUAAAGUUGCAACAUGGACAGAAUGUGGAUGUGAAAGUUUUUGCUAGACUAGAAUGUAUUUACUUCAAUCACCUGAUUAGCUUCUUACGUGGACGAAACCCUCUGGUAUUGAUGAAUAUAAAAGAAUUAAAUGUGACUGAGGUUUUGAAAAUUAAAAAAUCUUUUUAAAUGAGUAUUGAUUGUUCCUAUAUAUGCAAUUACUAGAAGCUGGAUUGUGGAGUAUAAUGCCAUUACUAGAAGCUUAUUGGCAUAUGGAAAAAACUAGAGAGUAUUUAUGCUUCUAGACCCAUGACUAAUCGUUUUCUUUUGAAGUUAGAUUUGUACUCUUGAGGAUGGAUGAAGGAAUGGGUAUACACAAGAGUUAAAAGGUUGACAACACAAGUAGUCAAUAUUAGAAAAAACAAAAUUGGGGAAAAAGAGCGAAACCUCAUUCUACAAGCCAUUGGUGCAAACAAUACUAGUUAAAAGGAUAACUUUAGGUUUAAUCUUACUAGAUAGAAUAAAAGGUUUUGAAAGGUAACGAGGCAUUGGUGAUGGAAGGUAAUCUAGGAAAUAAAAUUAUGAUUGUCAUGGGAGGAACAUGGCAUAAAGAGGUAGAUUUGGUAUAAAAAACUCUAUUUGAGAUUCUAGAUCUAGAGUGGAAUACAAUAUUAAUAUUUUUAUUGUCAUUGCAAAAUACUAGUUAAAAGGAUAACUUUAGGUUUAAAUGAUACAACUAUAAUUUUAUUGGAGAAUGAUAGGUUUUGAAAAUAGAAAACAAUGUCAAAAGGUAACGAGGCAUUGGUUAUGGGAGGUGGUCCUGUAAUUUACCAUGAAAGAUGGGAGCAAAGUGUUGAAUAUUAAACUCAAUCCAGAAGCUCCCAGAAGGUCAAGGAAGACAACCAGCCACCAGCCACCAGUCGCCGACCAGCCGCCAGCCGCCUUCACACUUGAAGGUUGAAUUUUCUAGUUUUUGAUUUCGUGUAUAAAUAGAGUGCCUAGCUUCUGUUAAUGUGUGUGGAGAGAAUUGAGAGCAAACACUAGAAAGAGAAAUAGAGAGAGAGAGGGCAUGUACUGUUAAGCUUUUGUUAAUUAAUUGUAAGCUUGUGUUUUUGUAACAAAACUUUGUGUUUUAUCCCCUCUGAGUGUUUCAAAGUCACCACCAGUGGUUUCUCCCAUGCACCAACAAUUAGUAUCAGAGCCCCGUUCGUCAGAAAACAGAAGUGUUUUGGGGUACAUCCGAAUUUUCAAAGUUGUCAAAAACAAGUUUUGAUCAUUCCACAGUGAAGAGCUCAUCAAUACGAACUCACUGUCGCAAGAAUCAGCCUUAUCGGAGUCCGCGGUGAUCCACACGCGCCGCCUGAAGAUCCGGUGACUGUAUCCCAUGCGCAUCCACGCGCGCCAUAUUUGAGCCGCGCCGAGCCCGAGCCGCGCCGCAAGCCGAGCCGUCCUCCGCACCGAGAGAAUAUUCCCCAAAAUAUUCCCCGAAUAUUCCUGGUUCAACCUAGCGAACCGCCCGCCGUACAGAAUUGGUUUUUUGACCGGUUCACCCAUUUUCUGACCCGAAUUCAACAAAGUCAGACCGGUUCCCUGCUAUUUGGAUCAUUCCAGAUCGAUCUACAAUGUCCGUUUGGCCAAAUUCGGCUCCUAGAAAGGUGAUAUAAUCAUUCAAAGAGCAAAAUGACUACAGAAGAUACACAUACACUCAUUCCAAAGCUGACCAAAGACAACUAUGAUAGUUGGUGCAUCAGAUUGAAGGCAUUCCUUGGGUCACAAGAGUGUUUGGAUAUUGUACAAACUGGUUAUGAUGAAUCAGAGUCCAAAGAAAGAGAAGAUGUUUUAUAAGAGGCACAAAAGCAAGCUCUUAAAGUCAACAGAAAGAAAGACAACAAAGCAAAGACCAUCAUCUAUCAGGGUCUUGAUGAAGACACAUUCGAGAUCAUAGCUUCCGCUGAAACAUCACAUGAUAUAUGGAGGCUCUCCAACAGAAAUACAAAGGUGCUGACAGAAUUAAAAAAAUUCGUCUUCAAUCUUUGCGAGGUGAAUUUGAGUUAUUGCAAAUGAAGUCCUCGGAGUCUAUUUCUGAUUAUCGCACAAGGAUUAUGGUGAUAGUCAACCAGAUGAGGAGAAAUGGAGAAGCCAUCGUCGAUUCUCGAAUUACUGAGAAAAUUUUGAGAUCGCUAGAUCCAAAAUUCGAUUUUGUUGUUGUCGCAAUUGAAGAAUCUAAAGAAGUGGACAAGUUGACAGUUGAUGAACUUAUGAGUUCUUUGCAAGCUCAUGAGCAGAAAAUUGUAAAGGGAAAUGGAGAUAAGGCAAUUGAGCAUGCCUUACAAGCAAAGCUGUCUCUCAAGGACAAAUAUGAGCAAGGGGAGACUUCAACAAAUGGAUAUACCACUCAAGCAGGAAGUCAACAAUCCAGAGGAGGAUUCCAGAGAUUCCAAGGAAGAGGUUCUUGGAAUACAAGCUUUAGAGGAAGAGGUGGCAGAAACAUCAUUAGAGGAGAUCGAGGACAACAAGCAUUCAAUCCUAGAGGAAGAGGGGGCGAUUACAAUAACCAUGACAAGAGGAAUAUCCAAUGUUAUAGUUGCAAUCAAUUUGGGCACUAUAGCACUGAAUGCAGAAGGAAAGCUCUAUUGGAGAUACGUGAGCAAGCCAACUAUGCAGAGAAGGAUGACAGAGAAGAAGCUGCAUUUCUUGUCCAACAAGAACAAAAUUAAGAUAAGGAAAUGAAAUAUUAUAGUUUUACAAUAAUAUAAUUGUUUUUUGCAUUAUACUUACCUAAUUACAAUGUGGUUUUCCCACACAUUUCUUACAACCCCCUCAUUUUCCUUGUCCUGGUAAUUUUUUUUCCUUGUAGUCAAACAUUAGUUAUUUUUAAAAAAAUUUUAAAAACUAUAUAUUAACUCAAUGUAUAUAUUAUUUAUUUAACCAUUAACUUUUCCCAAAAACAUCUACUAUAAUCAUACAUUUAGAAUGAUCUUAAAGUUGACUCUAUUAAAACAAUGGUUUUUCAAAAACAAAUUUAAGAUUAAUUGUAUUAAAGAGAAAAACUAUAAAAAAAAAACACAAAAAGUGUACCUAAGAUGUACAUCAUCUUGUAACCCAAAUCAAAUUGACCUUAGACAAUAGGGAAAAAAACAAAAGCUAAAAAAAAUUAAAAAUUUCUGAAAACAAGACUGCUUGAAUAAUAGCAUAGAAAAUCAAUUCAUCAAAAUCAUUUAAUGUAAAACUUAAAAUAAUCUAUUACAAAUAAAUAACUUCAAUGGUAAGAGAAAAAACAUGACUUACAUUGUGUCGUUGGCUUUUUAUGUUGCAAUAAGUUUUCUUGAUACAGGGUCUCUAGAAGAAGGGAUUCUACCUUUUUUGUUUGUGAAAUUCAUUGUUGUAAAUGAGAUCAUUGCAUAAUUAGUUGGCAUCAAAGGACAUAAUAAUCUCUCUCUUUGUAUGAUUAAUAGAAAUGAUACUGUGAAUCUGUAAAUUAUGCCAAAAACGCUUUAUUCUGUUUCUAAAGGACUCGAGGCUAUUGCUCUAAGAGUUGAAGUGCCUAUGUUCAAAAUCAUUUUAAAAUUACCUGCAUUAUUGCAUUUUUGUUCCACUAGAAAUUGUUUCUGAUGUUUUUGACAUCUACAAAUACUGCAAGGUCCUAUCCUGGUACUACUACAUCUGCUUGGUGUGGCCUUGUUAAGUUAACUGGGUAUUUGCAUAAUGUUUCCAGGCUGAUGCUUUUGAAAGCCAGCGUGGACAAUGCAUUGAUAUCACCUGGAAAGUGAUAAUUUAUUUAAAUAAAACAGACUUUACCAAGGUGAUGGAAACAAUGCUAUACUGCCCUGACAAAUAAAUGUAUAAAUGACAUGCGAGAGUUAAACUGGUUUUGCUUACACCAUUGUGCAUAGAACUGCUUAUUUCCUUUUCUGAAGAAUGUUCUUUGUACGCUUAAUUGAACUAGUCUCUUUAAGUGUUCAAUGGUUCUCACCAACCAUUUGUCAAAGAAAUAAAGAAGUCUGUUAAUUUUAUUGGUUUGCCAUUCCAACAGGGGCUGGAUCCCCUUUAAAUUGUGCAUGCAACUUGUUAGCAAACCUCUUAUUUUGGUAGGCAGAGUUUAUCCGUGUUGUGACUUCAGAUAAUAACAAUGACUGAUUUGGUCAAUCUCUCAAAAAGUUUUCUGUAUUCCCGAGAGUAAUAAUCCUAAUCAUCAUUUUAGGUUAGUUGACAGAAUAUCUUUCUUGGUUAUUUCUUAGUUCAUAUGAACCAAACCUGCCUCAUUCCUCCCCUCAUGCGAGGUAGUUAAGUAGUGUAUGAGCCCUAGUACUGGUUUCAAGAUAUGACUUAUCACUGUGUAUAUGUCUGUAGUUAGUUUAGCUGAGAGUUCAAACAAGUGUUUAUGGUGUUAAACGUUUUUCAAUCAUAAAUUGUUUUGCAGAUAUAAUUGAUGAAUUGGUGAAGAAUGGGAAAGAGAUAAGGCUGUAUAUUUUGCUUCUGAAUCUGGUUUGACGAAAAGAUUUUCUCCUGUAUCUCUACUCAAGUCAUAUCUUAAGAAUUCCAAGAAGAUCACAACUACUGUCUUGAAGAAUGGCAAUUAUAGUGUAGCUGCAACGGUGUGUCUAAUCUCUAUCUACAUUGUGUAAUUCUAAUGACAUGAAAUAUUUGAGUCUUAUUAAUUUUUUUGCAGGAUGAGUCAAGUACCUUGGAGUUGAAUUCUAUUAAAGCAAUCAUCAAAUGUGUGGAAGAUCAUAAGCUUGAAUCAGAAUUUUCCCUUGACAGCUUGAGAAAACGGGCUUCUCUGCUUGAAAAAACCAAAGCAGAGAGGAAGAGGGGUACAUCAUCAGCUGCCACUGCUACCAAGUCUCAAAACAAGCGAGGCCAUGGUUCAAGUGGUGGCCGGGACAGUGGACCUACUCCUUAUCGUCAAGCCAAAGCUGCCAAAUUUUCAAACAAUUAUUCCUCUUUCAGCCGCAGGAAUGCUCCUCUCCCUGCACAGCAUAGCCCGGCUAGAAGAUAUUCAGGGCCAUUCCACUACCCUAGCCAGAGUGUCUACGAGGGCCCCGCAGCAGCCCCGUAUGCAUCAACUUAUGGUAUCUCGCACGCUCAAAGCCCUUCUGCAAUCUCUCAACAACCCUACCAUCACUCUCAAAGCCCCAGUGCAAUUCCUCAACAACUCUACUCACAGCCAGCGGAGAACAUGAGUGCUGCCGGUUUCCGUGCCAGUGGUUCUUAUGGAAGCCAGACCGGGUUACGGGGCAUAUGAUUACGGCUCUGCUGCACCCGUUACUUACCAACCUUCAUCCUACACUCAAUAAGAUGGGAGGAACCUAGCCAGGUGUUAAGAUUCUUAUUUUUAUUUGGUGUCUGAUUUCUGGAUGUGGCCCUCUAAUUUUGGGACCCGCCCCCUUCAUCUCCCUUUCCCGUAUAAAAGUUUUUUUUUGGUCUUAUCUCAUGACUGGAUAUGAUGCCCAUGCCUGUAACGCUGAUUACCUUUAUAUGGAGCUCAAGCUGGAUGUGAUUUCCGUGCUGUGAGUUUUAAAUGGUUUGGCUAUCGAGCAUUGUGAUUACUCUCAUGAUUGGAGUCGCCAUUGGGCGCCUAUGCUUGUUUUUUUGCUAAAUUUUGGCAUGCCUAAUAGACUAAUUUGUUAAAUCACAACAAUUUAGUAAUCAUGCUAAAAAUCCAAUUUAGUAAGAACAUGGCUAUGAUGGGUAACAAUUAGCUAGCCCUUGUAAUUGAUAGACGUCAUUCUUUUGGCCACGAGAGGUCUGAAAAUAACUCACAAACAUUCAGACCAAUGGAGAAGCUUGUAUUACAUGUUCUAUAAAAUGGUUAUUCAUCAUCUAAUUCUUUAUAUAAACAAAUAACUACACAUGAAUAGAACAAUAAUGUUCCCUUAUAGUUUAUAAUAUUGCCACCUUUGUGAGUAUCAUUACCUUUGUGAAUAUCAUUUUGCCUCUACCAUCACAACCUCACAGUUAAUUUUUUUUUUCAUCAUUCAAUUUUUUUUUAAAAUUAGUCUUAUAAUUUGUUUUUUCAAUUCAGCUAUCCCCGAUUUCAUUACCAGAACUACAUGUUUGAUGAAUUUUUUUUGGGUCGCUGUUUUUUUAUUUAAAAUUUUAUUAGUUUCAUCCUUGAACAUUUGGUUCCUUUAGAAUUGAUUAUUGUAAUCAUUCUAAAGACAUGCAUAAAUUGUUUUAAGGCCUUAAAGUGCAUCUUCAUUCAUCUCAGAAACUGAAAAAAUAAAAAAAAAUCAAAUAAAAGAAACCUAAUUAUUUUUCCUGGCCUUGAUCUCUUUUUCUUUGUCCUUCUAGGGUGGUGUAAUCACCAUCAACAAAAUGGCCUUUUAAGGAAGAAGGGGACACUGGACACCAUUAUAGCAGGUUGCAAUGUCAGGAUCUAGAGGAAAGUUUCUCUCCUCGCCUAUCUCUCCUCGGUCCUGUCUCCGAUCUUUACAUACAGGGACUGAAUUUUAAAAAUAGUGUGUUUGUUUUUUAAAUAGGUUUUGUGGUUUUGAUUUUAAAAAAAUAAAUUUAAAAAAAGUGUGGUUAACUAUGAUUAGUUAAAUUUAAAUACGUGUUUAGUAAAAAUUAUAGUUGAAGUUUAUGUGUAACAAAAAUAAUGUAUAAAAUAUUUGGUGGAAGUAUAGUUGCCGUUGUUUUUUAAAGUGUUUUUUACUUGGAAAUGUAUCAAAAUAAUUUUUUUAAAAAAAUUAUUUUUGAUAUCAGCAUUGAUUUGAAAACAAAAAAAAUAUAUCAAUUUGAAGCAAAGAAAAAAAUAAAAAAAUUUAUUUUUUUCAAAAGCGCUUUUGAAACAUAAAAAUAAAUAGGGUUUUAUGAAACUCAAUUAAAAAAUCAUGUAAAAACUACUACAUAAAAAUUACGUUUCAAACUCAACUUUUUAGUAAGUCCCGCAUUACAAACCAAAGUUUAGUUUGUUAAUUACCAAACACUUUGCCAUGUUUGUUUCACCACAAACAAAAAACCAGUGAAGAAAUCCUAAAUAUCUAAAUAAUUUAUACAUGUUUUUUACUACACAUAACCUUUAACUAUAAUUUUUAUUAAACACAUAUUUAAAUUCAAUUAAUUACAAUUGACUCUAUUUAAAAAAAAAAACUUAUUUUUUUAAAUUAAAAUCUCAAAAACUAUCUAAAAAAUAAAGAAACGAGUGAGGAUGUUGAUGAUGCCAAGCAAGUCAGUGUAAAGUGGAAAUCUUGACAAGAUGUUGUAGCCUUCAUAAAAAGUACAAUGCAGUACAAAACGAGAGGUGAAUGUUUGAGAUUGUUAUAAUUUUUAAUUUUAUAUGAUUUUUAAAAGUAUAUUUUAUUUUAAAAAUAUAUUAAAUUAAUAUUUUUUUAAUAAUUUUUUCUAAAACAUAUUUUUCUAAAACAUAUUUUUAAAAAUAAUUUCCAUCACAACACUAAAAACAUAUAAAUAUUUAUCAUAGUAACAAGAAGUGAUAAUAUUUGAUGUAAAAACGGCUGAAUGUAUAUGUCAUGUUUCGAGAAGCGUCCAUGAUUAUAUCAUUAUGAUCCCAAAAAGAAAAAUAUUAAAUAUUAGGCUACAAUUAUUUAUAUACAGUUUUAAAACCUGGACCGGCCCGGCAGGUCAACUCGGGCCGAGACCGGUCCAGGUAGAGGCAAAAAUCUACUUGGAAAUUGACUCGGUAAAACCCGGUCGAUCUGCCGGGUUGACCCCGUGACCUGGACCACCCGGUCAAACCCGGCUGACACAUGAUCUCUCUUUCUCUCUUUCUCUAUAUAUAUAUAUAGACGUUAAACGACGUCGUUUUGGCCUUAAAAGGCCAAAACGAUGAACAAUGACGAAGCAGAAUUGGGGACACAUUGAUUACAGAGCAAACCCAAUUAACGAAAGAUUCCAUCACAGCCAAUGCAACUACAGUCUGGUCUAUAAGCUUUUGGCUUUCUUCUUUGCUCUUGCCAAUUAGGAUUUUUGCGUUUCGAGUGAUCGAUUUGCCCAUCAAAGUUGAAGUGAAGGGAGUGAGUUGGUUACAGAGAGAACUCCAUUCUAGGAUUUUAAGGGUUUUGAGUUGGAGUGAGCGAGCUGGAGGAGUGAGUUUCGGUGAGUGUGAAUCAAAGGGUUUUGUUAGGGCUUUGGUGGAGAAGGGUGGUUUGGUGGUGAAGAAGAGAAUCGGGGAUUUUUUAAUGGCUAUUAAAUGAUUGGAGAGUUUGAUUAAUGAAGGAUUUUUGAGGGAGAGAAGGAAAGGGAUGGGCUGUUUGACAACAACUUAUCCUUUUUAUUUUCAGCUUAUCUUUUAUUUUAGGUUGACUUGUUUUUAGGUUGACUCGUGUCAAUCAAUCUAACUCGUGAUUCGAUCACUUGACUAGAUUGAUAUCCGGAUCGAUUUUUAAAAUUAUGAUUUCUAUAAUUAGGUUACAUUUCGUUAUAGUCAUGUAUUUGAAAAAAUAUUUAGUUAAUAAAUAUAUAUAUAUAUAUAUAUAUAUAUAUAUGUUUUACUAAAAAUUAUUUUAAAAUUUUAAUUAAAAUAUAAUAUAUUUUAUAACUUUUUUUAAAAUGUAUUUUUUAAAAUCACAUAUCUAUCACAAAGAAAGAUCUUUUCAUACAUCCCAACUUUAGGCUAGAAGAUAUUCAGGGCCAUUCCACUACCCUAGCCAGAGUGUCUACGAGGGCCCCGCAGCAGCCCCGUAUGCAUCAACUUAUGGUAUCUCGCACGCUCAAAGCCCUUCUGCAAUCUCUCAACAACCCUACCAUCACUCUCAAAGCCCCAGUGCAAUUCCUCAACAACUCACUCACAGCCAGCGGAGACAUGAGUGCUGCCGGUUUCCGUGCCAGUGGUUCUUAUGGAAGCCAGACCGGUUACGGGGCAUAUGAUUACGGCUCUGCUGCACCCGUUACUUACCAACCUUCAUCCUACACUCAAUAAGAUGGGAGGAACCUAGCCAGGUGUUAAGAUUCUUAUUUUAUUUGGUGUCUGAUUUCUGGAUGUGGCCCUCUAAUUUUGGGACCCGCCCCCUUCAUCUCCCUUUCCCGUAUAAAAGUUUUUUUUUGGUCUUAUCUCAUGACUGGAUAUGAUGCCCAUGCCUGUAACGCUGAUUACCUUUAUAUGGAGCUCAAGCUGGAUGUGAUUUCCGUGCUGUGAGUUUUAAAUGGUUUGGCUAUCGAGCAUUGUGAUUACUCUCAUGAUUGGAGUCGCCAUUGGGCGCCUAUGCUUGUUUUUUUGCUAAAUUUUGGCAUGCCUAAUAGACUAAUUUGUUAAAUCACAACAAUUUAGUAAUCAUGCUAAAAAUCCAAUUUAGUAAGAACAUGGCUAUGAUGGGUAACAAUUAGCUAGCCCUUGUAAUUGAUAGACGUCAUUCUUUUGGCCACGAGAGGUCUGAAAAUAACUCACAAACAUUCAGACCAAUGGAGAAGCUUGUAUUACAUGUUCUAUAAAAUGGUUAUUCAUCAUCUAAUUCUUUAUAUAAACAAAUAACUACACAUGAAUAGAACAAUAAUGUUCCCUUAUAGUUUAUAAUAUUGCCACCUUUGUGAGUAUCAUUACCUUUGUGAAUAUCAUUUUGCCUCUACCAUCACAACCUCACAGUUAAUUUUUUUUUUCAUCAUUCAAUUUUUUUUUAAAAUUAGUCUUUAUAAUUUUGUUUUUCAAUUCAGCUAUCCCGAUUUCAUUACCAGAACUACAUGUUUGAUGAAUUUUUUUUUGGGUCGCUGUUUUUUUUAUUUAAAAUUUUAUUAGUUUCAUCCUUGAACAUUUGGUUCCUUUAGAAUUGAUUAUUGUAAUCAUUCUAAAGACAUGCAUAAAUUGUUUUAAGGCCUUAAAGUGCAUCUUCAUUCAUCUCAGAAACUGAAAAAAUAAAAAAAAAUCAAAUAAAAGAAACCUAAUUAUUUUUCCUGGCCUUGAUCUCUUUUUCUUUGUCCUUCUAGGGUGGUGUAAUCACCAUCAACAAAAUGGCCUUUUAAGGAAGAAGGGGACACUGGACACCAUUAUAGCAGGUUGCAAUGUCAGGAUCUAGAGGAAAGUUUCUCUCCUCGCCUAUCUCUCCUCGGUCCUGUCUCCGAUCUUUACAUACAGGGACUGAAUUUUAAAAAUAGUGUGUUUGUUUUUUAAAUAGGUUUUGUGGUUUUGAUUUAAAAAAAUAAGUUUAGAAAAAGGUGUGGUUAACUAUGAUUAGUUAAAUUUAAAUACAUGUUUAGUAAAAAUUAUAGUUGAAGUUUAUGUGUAACAAAAAUAAUAUAUAAAAUAUUUGGUGGAAGUGUUGGUUGUUUGUUUUUUACUUGGAAAUACAUCAAAAUAAUUUUUUUUUAAUUAUUUUUUAUAUCAGCAUUGAUUUGAAAACAAAAAAUAUAUCAAUUUGAAGCAAGGAAAAAAAUAAAAAAAUUUAUUUUUUUCAAAAGCGUUUUGAAACGUAAAAAUAAAUAGGGUUUUAUGAACUCAAUUAAAAAAUCAUGUAAAAAUACUACAUAAAAAUUGCGUUUCAAACUCAAUUUUUUAUAAGUCCCGCAUUACAAACCAAGUUUGGUUUGUUAAUUACCAAACACUUUGCCAUGUUUGUUUCACCGCAAACAAAAAACCAGUGAAAAAAUCUAAAUAUCUAAAUAAUUUAUACAUGUUUUUUACUACACAUAAAAUUUAACUAUAAUUUUUAUUAAAUACAUAUUUAAAUUCAAUUAAUUACAAUUGACUCUAUUUAAAAAAAACUUAUUUUUUUAAAUUAAAAUCUCAAAAACUAUCUAAAAAAUAAAGAAACGAGUGAGGAUGUUGAUGAUGCCAAGCAAGUCAGUGUAAAGUGGAAAUCUUGACAAGAUGUUGUAGUCUUCAUAAAAAGUACAAUGCAGUACAAAACGAGAGGUGAAUGUUUGAGAUUGUUAUAAUUUUUAAUUUUAUAUGAUUUUUAAAAGUAUAUUUUAUUUUAAAAAUAUAUUAAAUUAAUAUUUUUUUAAUAAUUUUUUAUAAAACAUAUUUUUAAAAAUAAUUUCCAUCACAACACUAAAAACAUAUAAAUAUUUAUCAUAGUAACAAGAAGUGAUAAUAUUUGAUGUAAAAACGGCUGAAUGUAUAUGUCAUGUUUCGAGAAGCGUCCAUGAUUAUAUCAUUAUGAUCCCAAAAAGAAAAAUAUUAAAUAUUAGGCUACAAUAUUUAUCAUAAUUUUAAAACUCGGACCGGCCCGCAGGUCGACUCGGGUCUGGAACCGGUCCAAGUGGAGGCAAAAAUCCACUUGGAAAUUGACUCGGUGAAACCUGGUCGAUCUGCGGGUCGACCCGUGACCCGGAUCACCCGGUCAAACCCGGCUGACACUUGACUCUCUCUCUUAUAUAUAUAUAUAUAUAUAGACGUUAAAAGACCGUUUUGGCCUUUUAAAAGGCCAAAACGAUUAACAAUGACGAAGCAGAAUUGGGACACAUUGAUUACAGAGCAAACCCAAAUAACGAAAGAUUCCAUCACAGCCAAUGCAACUACAGUCUGGUCUAUAAGCUUUUGGCUUUCUUCUUUGCUCUUGCCAAUUAGGAUUUUUGCGUUUCGAGUGAUCGAUUUGCCCAUCAAAGUUGAAGUGAAGGGAGUGAGUUGGUUACAGAGAGAACUCCAUUCUAGGAUUUUAAGGGUUUUGAGUUGGAGUGAGCGAGCUGGAGGAGUGAGUUUCGGUGAGUGUGAAUCAAAGGGUUUUGUUAGGGCUUUGGUGGAGAAGGGUGGUUUGGUGGUGAAGAAGAGAAUCGGGGAUUUUUUAAUGGAUAAAUGAUUGGAGAGUUUCAUUAAUGAAGGAUUUUUGAGGGAGAGAAGGAAAGGGAUGGCUGUUUGGACUUAUCCUUAUUUCAGCUUAUUUUUUUUUUAGAGUUUAUGCCGUGUCAAUCAUCUGACUCGUGAUCCGAUCACUUGACUAGAUUGAUAUCCGGAUCGGGUUUCAAAACUAUGAUUUCUAUAAUUAGGUUACAUUUCGUUAUAGUCAUGUAUUUGAAAAAUAUUUAGUAUUAUAUAUAUAUAUAUAUAUAUAUAUAUAUGUUUUACUAAAAAUUAUUUUAAAAUUUUAAUUAAAAUAUAAUAUAUUUUAUAACUUUUUUUAAAAUGUAUUUUUUAAAAUCACAUAUCUAUCACAAAGAAAGAUCUUUUCAUACAUCCCAACUUUAGGCUAGAAGAUAUUCAGGGCCAUUCCACUACCCUAGCCAGAGUGUCUACGAGGGCCCCGCAGCAGCCCCGUAUGCAUCAACUUAUGGUAUCUCGCACGCUCAAAGCCCUUCUGCAAUCUCUCAACAACCCUACCAUCACUCUCAAAGCCCCAGUGCAAUUCCUCAACAACUCUACUCACAGCCAGCGGAGAACAUGAGUGCUGCCGGUUUCCGUGCCAGUGGUUCUUAUGGAAGCCAGACCGGUUACGGGGCAUAUGAUUACGGCUCUGCUGCACCCGUUACUUACCAACCUUCAUCCUACACUCAAUAAGAUGGGAGAAACCUAGCCAGAUGUUAAGAUGAAGACAAAGAUCUGGUGCUCGAUUGAUGUUCAAUUUUAUCAAAUUAUGUUUAAAUUAAGUUGAUUUAAAGCAAUUAGGCCUUAAGGAAUCAAAUUUGAUUAUGAAACAAAUAUGGGAGACUGAAAUUAAUGGGUAUAGUUAAAAAGACACAGUAGCUGUGGCAGCGUAUGCAAUCUUUUCUAGCGGCCAACUCACCCUUCCAUGGUAGCGAUCGAUGCAUCUUAGAAUUCUUUUUCUGCAAUGGUAACACAUGUGUCGCCUAAUUUUUGGUUAUUUUUAUUUUAAUUAUUUUAUUUACCGAAAAGGAUAAAAUGAUGAUAAAAAAAAUAAUAAUGAUGAAAAACAAGUAAAAUAAAGAAUAAAUUAAAAUUUAGGUUAAGGACAACAUGAUGGAAAGUUUUGGGGUUUAAUUAAACUUUGGAAUUAAUCUAAUUAAUCCAAUCAAGGGCUUAAUUGGAGAAUUGAUAAGUUUUAAGACUUAAUUGAGCUUGAAAUUAAUUUAAUUAAUCCAAUCAAUGUUUUAAUUGGAGAAUUGAUAAGUUUUUGGACUUAAUUGAGCUUGGAAUUAAUUUAAUGAAUGAAAUCAAGGACGUAAUUGAAGAAAUAUCAAAGUUUGGGGUUAAUUGGGGUACAAUUUGCAAGAAAUGAAAACGCAAGGACCAAUGUGUAAAUUGCAAUGAGAUGCAGGGGUUCAAUUAAAAUUUACCCAACGACUGGACUGCUAAAAUUCAAAAUGACAAGGAUCAAAAUGCAAUUAGCCAUGUCCAUCAACACUAUUCAUCUUUUCCUUCACUCGCCCGAACAAAAACGGAUGCAUCGCCAUUACUCCUGCAAUAACAGUCAAUUUAUUACCUGGUAACGGUGGCAUUCUGUGGCUAUAAAGCCAGAGAGAACAAAGGGGCUAGAGAAGGGGGAACCGAAAAGCCACUGGUGAUCAUAGAACCGAAAAGCCACUGGUGAUCAUAGAACCGUGAGCAGCAGUGGAAGAUCUUCAUCCCCAGCAGCUUCCUCCAUUUCAAGCAGCUCCUCGCCACGGUUAGUCUCCACCCCAACACCAGAUACUCCAAGAUCAGCCACCGUGGGUAGUGUUGCCACCAAUCACCUCACACAGCAUCGUGAACUCCAACAGCAAGGCAACUGUCAGCAGCCUUGCAACAACCAGCAUCUCCCUUCUGCACCGUGAGCUUCAAUCACUCCACCAGCAUCACUAGUUCCAUCGUGACUAGCAUCACCAGCAGCUUAUCUCAGCAAAUCAGUAGCUCAUCACGGUGGCGACUGAUUUUUGAAGAGAGGCUGAAGCGUUCCUCAGCAACUCUUCUAGACAGGGAGGAGAAGAACCCCCAUCUCUUUUGUUCAGACCUCCAUCACCAUCAACCAUCGCCUUUCAUCUUCCAACAAAUAGCGUAAGCAGCAGCACAGGAAGGGAGGACUAGAGAAGACGCAGAACAACAGAAACAGAGGGGGAAACAGUAGCAGUCGGGCAAGCCUCCGUCACCAUCGACAUCGUCUUCGCCUUCACCUCGCAGCUGCGCCACCCCAGCAGCUCUUCCUCACCGUGACAUCCAGCAGUCUUCCCUUGAAGCAGCCGUCUCCCUCAGCCUUGCCAGGUAAGUUCUUCAGCUUUCCUUCUUUUGGUAAAUUAAUUACCUGUUACUGUUGCAUGCAUGCGUGAGUGAUUCACGCAUGCAUGCAACAGUGGCAGCCGGGUCACUGGUUUGGACCAGUGACCCGAACUUUUUUUUUUUUUUUUACCAUGCAACAUCAAUAAACAGAAAAAUAAAAAAAAUAGAAAAAAUAAAAAAUGUGUAUGCAUGAAUAAAAAUAAUGUAAAUUUAUUGGUUUAUUCACUGAAACCAGAGUCAGGAAUAAAAAUACCGGUUUAAAUAUAUAUUAUUUUUAUUCGUUGUAUUUUUAUUUUAUUUAGCUAGAAAAAUAACAAAUAUGUGCAUGAAUAAAAAUAAAUUUAUUUUUAUUUAUUUAUUCACUGGCACUAAAAUAGGGAAUAAAAAAAUAUUGAUUUUUUUUUUCAUAGCUAUGAAUUUUUACCAACGCCAGAGUUGGAAUUAUUCGAGCUCGAAUAUUCACUGGCGUCAGAGUCAGGAAUAUUAUAAAACAAAUCAUCAUAGCAUAAACUAAUAAAUAUUUAGCAAUUUAAGACAUAAACCAGCAAUGCAGUCUGUCUUAGGCAGAACGUUUAAAGGGUGAUAAUAUCUUCCCUUUUAAGUAACUAAUCCCGAGCCAUAGAAUCUCUGUUGACCAGUUAGGGUUCCUAGUAACCAUAAUACUAGGUGACGACUCCUUAAACAAGAUAUUUUCUUUAAAAGAACCGGAUGCCAGAAAUCUGUUCUUUUUCCAUAAUUCAAGAGAAUUAUUUUGAGGGCCGAUGCGAUGUCGGGUGCGACAACAUGUAUUCUUAUUCUUAGUGUUGUGUUGUUGGUGUUAUUUAUUUUAUUUUUUUCCAUAUUUUCCCUCUUUUCUCUUUAAAAUUCAUGAUAGCCAUUUCAAAGUUCAUAGUUGUCUCCUUAUUUUAGUAUUAUUUCAAAUGCAAUCCUUUUUUUAUUACUAAGUUUUUGUUCUAGAUCUUUUUCUAAAAUGUAAAAUUAUUUUCAAUUUUAUCAUUCAAUAAAAAAUUAUAAGUUGUCCUUUCAAUUCAUUUUUAAAAUUUGGUCCAUAUUUUUUUAAUUCCUAUUUUUAGUUUUUGAUCCUAUAGUGAAAUUAAAUUUUCCUUCCAUUUUCAUCAUCUAAUUUGUUUUUAUUUCUAAUUCUAUUCUUAUUCUUUUGGUUUUUUUUUAGAGCCUUUUGUAAAAUUAAAUUUUUUAAAUUAAUUUUUCAGCAUGAGGUUAUUUAAGAAUUGGAUUCCAUGUGUUUUUAUUGAUGGGAUGAUUCAUGACAUGGACCAAGUCAUAUAUUUAAAAAAUUGACCCGGGUUAACAUUGUUCUUUUAUUUAUUGAGUUUUAUUUUUUUUAUACACGUUUUAUUUUUUAUUUUCAUCCUUUAAUUUUUUUUUAAUUGAGCUUUAUGAUUUUUUUUUUAAUUUUCUUUCAAUCAUGUUAUCCUUAUUCAUCUCAGAAACUGAAAAAAAAAAAAAUAAAUGAAACCUAAUUAUUUUUCGUGGCCUUGAUCUCUUUUUCUUUGUCUUUCUAGGGUGCUGUAAUCACCAUCAACAAAGUGGCCUUUUAAGGAAGAAGUGGCUCAAAUUGUUUCUAUAGUUGGGUUACAUUUUAAUAUAGUCAUGUAUUUGAAAAAGUAUUUAGUUAAUUAAUAUUUAUUACAUAUAUAUAUAUAUACACACACAUUACUAAAAAUUAUUUUAAAAUUUUAAUUAAAAUAUAAUAUAAUUUAUAAAUCCCAACUUUCGCAAGAAUAGUAAUCAUGAGUCCUGACAUGUCCUCUUCCUUGUUGAAUUCUACGGGCUUCGAAUGUCAUGUUCAUGCCGAUUUACUAGGGUAUUUCUUUAUGCAUGCAUGCAAAAUAAUAUAAUAAUUAAUUAUUAGUUGAUAGAGGCUGAUAAAUAAAUAAAAAUAUAUAGUUUAUUGAGUUUCCAAAACAAAAUAAUCGCAUCAUGCAUGUGGUCUUCAACCAAAUCUACUACUGUUUGCAAAAAUAGUGUUCAUGUAGAUUAAUAAGGCCAUGUUUGUUUCUCGGAAAGUAGUUUUUAGAAAAUUAUUUUCCAAACUUUCUUGUGUUUGUUUGUCAUUAGAAAAGUUGGUCAACGGAAAACACUUUCCAGUAAAAAAAAAAUUUUAACUUGGUUUUCAGGAAAGUAUUUUCCUUUUAGAUGUGCUUGUUUUCUGGAAAGUGGUUUCCGAGAAAUUACUUUCCAAACUUUCUUGUGUUUGUUUGCCAGUAGAAAAGUUGGUCAAUGAAAAAUACUUUCCAGUAAAAGGAAAAUUUGGCUUGGUUUUCAGAAAAGUGUUUUCCUGAAAAAUUUAAGGGGAAAACACUUUCCGGAAGUUGUGAAAAAUUUAGAAAUGUCAUUAUUUUCUGAUUAUAUCAAAUUUGAUCCUCAAACUUUUGAUUGCUAUAUAUAUUUUGUUUUGAAUAUUUAUUUUUCAAUUUCAUCUCUUAAAAUGUUAUUUUUAUAUUAGCGUUGGUCCUUAUUUUUAUAGUUGCUAUUUGCUUUUUCCUUAUUAUUUUUUUAUUGAAAUUUUUUAUUUAUCAAAUUUGAUCCUCAUUCUUUUUAUUGUUACUUAUUUUAUUUGAAAUAAUUUAUGAAAUGUUGAUUAUUAUUAUUUUAAUUUCUUCAUUUUUUUUUUUUAGAUUUGAUCCCUAUUAUUUUGAUUAUUAUUUAUUUUAUUUGAGAUAAUUUAUGAAAUUAUAUUUUUUUUUUCAAUUUCAUUCUCAUUCAACUUUUUAAUUUGUAAGAUUUGUUCCUCAUUAUUUUAAUAAACUUGAGAAAAAUAAAAUAUUAAUAAGUUAUUUUCUAGCUCAUUUUCCAUGACAUAACCAAACACUGGAAAGUGUUUUCCAACUCAUUUUCCAUUACACUACCAAACAUCGGAAAAUACUUUAUCGGAAUUCACUUUCUCCGGAAUUCACUUUUCAAAAGGAAAACUUUCCAGCAAACAAACGGAGCCUAAGUACUAUUUAUUGAAACAAAGUAAUGAUAUUUUGCUUUUCUUGUAAAAGAAUUUGAACAAGUUAUUUAAGAUAGUUUCACAAGUUUCAUUUGUUAUUAUCGGGUCAAAUUAAUAAGUGUUUUUGCAUUUUAAAAUUAUAGUGAAAUAAUUAAAAUAUUCUUAUAUGUAAAAAAUUAUAAAUUGAUGUCCAAGAACUUUUUAGUAUUUUCACAUUAGUUUUUUCGUUAUUAUUAGGUUAGUUGAAGGAAAAUUUGGUAUUUUAAUAAAUAUAAAAUAUUAUUUAAAAACAAAAAACGGCUAGCCUAUGUAAUGCUUGUGCUAGCGUAUGGGUGGUGCUAGCUCCAUUCGGGUGGCAUCUCUCGACGACCGAACACUAGCUUUUGCCAUGUUAUUAAUUGAAAGCAUUGCAAUAUAAUCUUCCUUUAAGAACGGCACGUUGUGUUAUUGGGGUGGUUAUGUGAUGUUGGUGACCUUUUUUUCUUCUCAUCCCACUUUAGUCUUUCCUCCUUUUAAAAAUCAUGUUGGUCAUGUGAAAUUUUAAAGUUGUCCUUUAAUUUAUUGAGAUGUCAAAUUCAUUAUUAUUUUUUUUGAUAUUUUUUUUUUUGUUCUUGGUUAUUUUGUGAAAUUUUUAGUUAUUUUUAAUUUUAUCCUUCAAUCUCAAUUUGUGAUACAUUAUAUUUUUUUCAAUUUAGUCCUUAUUCUUUUGAUAUUUUUAUUUUUUGAGUCCUUUUAUAAAAUUGAAUUUUCUUUUCAAUUUCAUCCUUCAAUUAAAAAUAAAAUUUAUUUUUUAUUUUAAUUUUAAUUUGCAUUCCUUCAAGUACCCUUUUUUUUAAUCUCUCUGUAUAAUUGAUUUUUCUUUUUUUCAUUUUUAAAUUUUAUCAAAAACGCACGCGAUUCGUUGUUGUCAAACUAUCUAGUGCUAAGAAUUCGAAAGUCAAGUACCCUGCAAUAUGAAAGAACUCUGAAAACACACACCAGAGACAUGCAUGUUCUGCUUUAUAUAUAACCAAAGUCGUUACAAGAAAGAAGAGAAAGUGCUUAUCUAUUUGUUACAAGAGAUACAAAUUACAUGAGAUUUAAAUACAAGAUAAAAUGCCCUCCCGUUUGCAAGCUAUCCAGUUUGAACUGGAUGUGAUCCUAUUCUCUACCCAUAAAAAUAAUACUGAAUUUAAAGGGAUUUGCAGUCAGGACAGACAAUAAUGAUUUUCCAGCUGCAAGCAUCAAUCUAUAGGAAAAACCUAAUUGAUAAUAAUAAAAAAAGGCUUGGAAUGUGAUGAUGGUUAGGAAAAAUCCAGUACGUUCGUGCACCGUGAUUGUCAGCAUGAAUGUAAAUGCUAAACCCAUGCAGAAAAGGGAGUAGAAAUUAAAAUAUGUCGCCAUCUCCAUGCAUAUUGUUACAUAAUUGGUACCACCUAAUGAUAUCUGACAAAGGAUUAUAGCGGCGAUGAGGGAGAGAUUCAUAGCUAGCAUGUCGAAAAAAACAUAAGCUCUCAUCAGAUUUUUUGAACUACCACUGCUAAGAUCACGACCUGAUCCAGGCACAGUGAUAGCACCAGCGAAGGUUACUCCAACUACCAGUACUGCCACCACGAGAAGAUUCCCUACCCCUCUGUUCAGUUGCUCCGUCGUUAACGUCGUUCUUGGUAAAUCAAAGAUAGGACUGAUGCAAGGCUCAGGCAUAUCAUCUGCCUCCUCCAAAACUUUAAAUACCUUACGCUGAACAACAAAGUGUUUAUUAGAAAAUAUAUGGUAAACAAAUUAAUUAUAUAAAGCAUCAUGACAAUGCUAGCUUAAUGUCCCAUAAUAACGAAGAAGGAAUUCAUCGCUAUAUAUUUAGUAGAUCAGCGAGGCAUUCCAUAUUUUUGAGCAAGUAAAGAACUUUAUUUCCACUUUGGAUUAAUCAAAUUUAAGGUAAUUGAAAGAAAUCUAUCAUUCCCUUUUCUAUAAAGUUGCAACAUGGACAGAAUGUGGAUGUGAAAGUUUUUGCUAUACUAGAAUGUAUUUACUUCAAUCACCUGAUUAGCUUCUUACGUGGACCAAAGCAACUAGAAUAUAAUUUGACUUGGAUGCGAAUGGUUCUUUAAAUGGCUAACCAAAACCCUCUGGUAUUGAUGAAUAUAACAGAAUUAAAUGUGACUGAGGUUUUGACAAUUAAAAAAUCUUUUUAAAUGAGUAUUGAUUGUUCCUAUGCAAUUACUAGAAGCUGGAUUGUGGAGUAUAAUGCCAUUACUAGAAGCUUAUUGGCUAUAAGAGAUAAUUAAUGAAGUUAUCUUUAUUGGCAUAUGGAAAAAACUAGAGAGUAUUUAUGCUUCCAGACCCAUGACUAAUCGUUUUCUUUUGAAGUGAGAUUUGUACUCUUGAGGAUGGAUGAAGGAAUGUGUAUACACAAGAGUUAAAAGGUUGACAACACAAGUAGUCAAUAUUAGAAAAAAAAUUGAGGAUAAAGAGCGAAACCUCAUUCUACAAGCCAUUGGUGCAAACAAUACUAGUUAAAAGGAAAUAACUUUAGGUUUAAAUGAUGCAGCUACAAUCUUAUUGGAGAAUGAUAGGUUUUGAAGGUAGAAAACAAUGUCAAAAGUUAACGAGGCAUUGGUUAUGGGAGGUGGUCCUGUAAUUUACCAUGAAAGAUGGGAGCAAAGAUGAUGAUGUUAUCAUGGAUCAUAAAUAUUGUAAAAAGGUUUUGAAAAAUUCAUGGAUUGUAGAUUUUGCAUGCUGCUUUCAUAGUUAUUUAAAGAAAUAAUGUUUUGAUACUUACAAAGAAAAUGAUGGAGAUUCUAUGUUGCUAGAAUUGAUAAUGUUAAAAUUAAGAUAUAUAAUGGAGCAAUGAAAACCCUUUGUGAUGCUAGGACUUAGGCACAUGCAAAGACUUACAAGAAAGAAAGUUUGUGAAACUGAAAAUGUUACCAUUUUGAGAACUUCUACUUCCUGCGAUUUGUUCCAUACACCUCUCGCAGCAUCAUCCUCAUGCUUGUUCUGAGCAAGGACAAGCAAAGACAGUAUUAAUUUGUAAGUAUACAUUCGAAACUGAAUUUGAAUGUAUUUUCUUGAAAUCAGUUUUUGUAAUGUUAAAGGUUGUCCUUUUCAUUAUCAUUUUUUGCAAGUAUAUAUAUAUGAUGAUUAAUUUGGAGUAUGAUCCCCCGUGAUGUUCAAGAGCAAUUGCAAGCCCAUUAAUUGACUUUGGUGCAUAAGGUCAGUUUUUCGAAAAGGCUCAGCAUAUAAGCAUACCAUUCCAUCUGACUUUGGUGCUUCAAAGCGUCCGCCUCGCAAUAAUUUCGCAACAACACCAGAUGGUUUCAACUUUUCAUUAUUAACAAUCAUUUUAUCCACCCGCAUGUCACUCACUAGUGCAUGCAUUAUCUUCGAACGGCAAUACAUUGCAGCCAAGUGCAAAGGUGUAUUUCCAUCGUAAUCCUUCUCAUUUAUAAGAGCUUCCAGAUCUCGAUUUCUCAAUAUUUCAUCCACUAUUUUCAUCUGUCCACUCCCCGCUGCAACGUGAAGAAUAUUCUGUCCUUUUUCGUUGAGAAAAUCCAUUGGAUCGAACCAAUAAGUAAGUAGUUCGUGUACUACUUUAAGAUGGCCCUUCUGGCAUGCAACAUGGAUGGGUAAGUUGCCUUCGUCGUUUGUUUGUGAUGCGGCAACAGGACAUCGACUAACCAGGAGUCUUGCUCCAGAAAGGAAGUCCAUUGAUGCUGCAAGAUGAAGGAGAUUUCCCCCUUUUAUGUCCUCGGGAAGCAUUAUAUCCGGCUUGCCGACCGCUAGUUUUUCUAGUGCAGCAUAAUUUAAAAAUUAGAUAAUCAAUACAAAAAUCACAAAAUGCAUGGAAAUUAAUAACUUGAAUUUUAUGCUUUACAUAAAAUGACAUGAUGAAGAAUCAGUUUUAAUGAGACCAAUAAUUAUAAGUGUAACAUGUUAUUUUUCACGUCGAAAUGAUGAUAACAUGUAAUUACCUAAAUUUCCUUCCGGCAUAGCUUCUAUAAAAGAAGCAAGCAUCUCCUCGUCGCAACUCUCUACUGCCAAGUACAAGGGAGACUUGUCUUCCUUGUUCUUGAGGUAGGAAACUUCUAGGUCUUCAUUAACGAGGAAACGGGCCACCUCUCGGCAACCCUUGAUGACUGCAUCGUGCAAAGGGGUGUUUCCUUUAUUAUUCUUCAUCCUCAGCAAGCUAGCAAGUUCAAGUGUUUUAUGAGGAUCGAUUUUCACAUGCUCGACGAGAUUUUUAAUUGUGUCAGACCGUCCAGCCCUGGCAGCCAGAUGAAGAGCAUUAUCACCCAGGAAAUUUUUCCUGGUGAUUAGGAGGGGGAAGUGAUGACACAGUAGCUGUAUCACACCUUCGCUUCCAUGGCUUGCUGCCACAUGAAGCAGUGAAUUUCCAGAGGCAGCAACAUGUUUGAAAAUCAUAUCGAGCACUUCCUCUGAUGAAACAUGUUCCAGUUUAUCGGACAAGAGACCAAACAAGGCAUUGAAGUUGUCUUCCUUUGCAUAGGUAUAAAGCUCCUUCUUCAGUAUUUUAUUUGGCUCAGAAAAACCAUACUCUGCAUUCCGAACUGGGAAUUUAGCUGCCUUCCAUCGUUCAAGCUCCAUUUGUACUGGUCUCGGCAUAUCUAUUUGUAAGUGCUCCAUCUCUUCUUGAGUGACUUAACUUUGCUGCGGUUGUAUCUGUGGUAAUUACAUGUCUUGUUAUUUGGCCAAGCAAACUAAAGAAUUCAUAGAAAACAUGAAUGCAAGAGAUAUGCUAUUUAAAGGAUUGGUGAGAGAAACGUACAUUAGCUACAUAAUUUUUCUCAAUACAAUUAUUUAGGAGCAUAUAUAUAAAUGUUUAAAUUCAAGUCAAAAUCAAGCUGCUAAAACAUUAGUGUAUUUAAAAAUGUGGUUGCAGUUAUUUUUUAAAAUAUUUUUUAUUUAAAAAUAUAUUAAUUUUAAUAUCAGCAUAUCAAAUGAUCUAAAAAAAUAAAAAAUAUAUAUUAAUUUAAAGUUAAAAAAAAUUUAAAAAUCAAUUUUUUCUAAAAUAUUUUUAAAAUAAAAAACAAUUAGUAUCAAAGUCAAGUUAAUGCCAUUUUUUUAUAUCCAAGUCCAAGAAUAACUAUGGGUUUGUGUAUUGUAUUUAUAAAUAAAAUAAUAUUUUAUGACUUUUAAUAUAUUUUCUAACAGUAUUAUAUAAACAAAUAAAUUAUAUGCAUAAAUAUAUCAAAUUGAUAUAAAUUUGAUUAGCGCAAAUAACUGAUGCCAGUUUGUUAAGAAUCUUAAAAAAUAAUUCUCAUAAUAUAAAGGAGGUUUAGCCAAUUACCUAUGCCACAGGCACGCACGCUGGUCGACUAGUUACUGUCUUCCUCUGCCUUCACCUCUGUUCUUGCUUUUCUCUGAUCGGUUACUCCCCUGGUCGUCCUCCUCUUUGCCCAGGGAUCAGUGUUAUAAACUGUGAAUGUUUUUGUCUGUAUCGCGAAUUACUGUAGAAAUGUUUUUCUCGUGUAUUGUACUGUUUUGGGUUUGACAAUUGCUAAAAGCACUGUAGUUAGGGAGACAUAAUGAUAGAAAAUGAUCAAUUUGAAUUUUGGUGAAGUCGGACGACCAGGCUGCAGAUAUCUACUGCUCGGCACGAUCCAGAUAAGAAACAGCUGGCGUUAGGGCCAGUCAGCAAGCUCAUUAGUACCGGACUACAAACACUUGUCAUUGGGUUCAUACCCUAAGCGCUAGAUAAACUCGCACGCCUUGCUGAAGACAUGAUACGCGGGUCUGUAGACCAUCAUGCAUACUGUAAUUAAUGUGAUUUUUUAUAUUAUAUAAAAUUACAUGCAAAGGGAUUGGCCGGCUGGGCCUGACACCAGGCACGCAACAAUCGUGCCUUUUCUUCCUCAGUUCGUUCCUCCUGGUGUGUUCUGUGUGUUUCGUUCCCCUGCUGUGGUCUGUUCGUGGGCUUUCUCUGUUCUUUUCGUUCUCUCCGUUCGUCCUCUGGUUCUCUCAGGAAAUUCCGUCUUUUUGUUUUUUAAUUUCGCCCCUGGAUUUUAGUGCCAUAUACAAAACAGUCCCUUAAUUUCUGAAUGUUUCAAUUCAGUCCUUAAUUAAUUCUUCAACUUUUAAUUCUUUCAAAAUUACACCUAGAAAGAUCAAUUAAACUCCCUACAGUAACCCCACCUUUUCACUUUGAUCCUUAAUCUUUAAUUCCUUGCAAUUUUGACCCAAAUGAGCCCCAAACUUUGGUAUUUUUUAAAUUAAGCACUUGAUUUCAUUAAUUAAACUAAUUUUAAGUUUAAUUAAGUCCCAAAACAUAUGAAUUCUUCAAUUAAGCGCUUGAUUUGAUUAAUUAAACUGAUUCAAAGUUUAAUUAAGUUCUAAAACUUUCAAUUUAUGUUGUCUUGACCCAAAUUUCAAUUUAUUCUUUUAUUUUUUUCAUCAUCAUUUUUUAUUCUCAUUUUUAUUAUUUUUAUAAAAAAAAUAAAACAAAAUAAAAUAAAAAUAGUAAAAAAUUGGGUUAUGAAAAUAAAUGUAAAAUCAGUCACUAUCAUCAUCGCCAUCACCAUCACUCAUUAUUAGGGAUUUUCUUUUAUGACUCAAAUAGAAAAAGGCCUUAAACAGUUAUGAUAGGCUUAUAGACUCAAUAGAACAUAUAUAAAAUAUGUGUUUCAUAUGCAAGAUUCUUUCGACCAUGUUUUGAGGAUAUACCUAGAUGUGAUGCCAUAAUUUUGAUUUCAAAUCUAUUAUUGGCUUUUAGAAUCUUUGUACAAAGCUCAUAGCUUAGUUUUGAAUAAACAUACAAGCCACGAAAAGCUCUAUCUAGGUGGAAGGGUACUAUACUACCUAAUAUAAAGGGUAUCACAACAAGAGAACAACCCAGAAGGACGAACCAGAAUAGUAGGACUGUUAUUCCCCUGUUGCUUCUCAAAGAAACAGAAAAACGCGUAAGAACUAGAGAAGAUAAGGACGAAAGAGAAAGAAAAAACACGGGGAAAAAGGACUAAGGAGCACAAAACAGAGAAAACUAGAGGAGAAAACAAAUAAAAAACAAAAAGGAAGAGAAGAGAAUCUUCCAAAGCCAGUGUUAUUCCCAGUCUUUCGCCUCCAGCAACGUUUGCAGAUCAGGUAAGUUUUUUGUUCCCUCCUUUUUUAUUUUUCAUUACAAAGUUACUGUGCAGCUUGAAUUUAAUUAAUUCUUCACUGUGCACACACGUGUUGUGUGAGCCUCCUGCUGGCCAGCUGGGUCCAGCCCAGCCACAUAGGCUGAGCUGGGCCAAGCUCAAAUAAAUAAAAAUAAUAAAAAAUAUGUAUGAAUGAAUAAAAAUAAUAAAAAUAAUAAAAAUUUAUUGGUUUAUUCACUGACACCAGAAUUAGGAAUAAAAAUACCGGUUUAAAUUUAUAUUAUUUUUAUUCAUUAUAUUUUAUUUUUUUAGCUAGAAAAAUAAAAAAAAAUAUGUGCAUGAGUAAAAAUAAAUUUAUUUUUAUUUAUUUAUUCACUGAUGUUAGAGUAAAAAAUAAAAAUAUUAAUCUAAUUUAUUUUAUAGCUACGUAAUAUUUACCGACGCCUCAGACAUAACGUUUAAAGGGUGAUAAUAUUUUCCCUUUUACAUAACCAGUCUCGAACCAUAUAAUCUUUGUUGACCAGUUAGGGUUUUUAGUGACCAUAAUACCAUAGUGACGACUCCUUAAAUAAUACCUUUUUUCUAAAAAAACACAAUGCUAGAUAUCUGUUUUUUUUUCUAUAAUUAAAAAAAAAAUUUAAAGCCGUUGUGAUAUUAGGUGUGACAACAUGUCCUACAAUAAAUUUUACUUGGAAACUAUCUUUCUCUCACACCUUACAUGCUCUUCUAUGAAUAAAAUUGUGUAAACUUAAGAAAAUUAGUGUUUAAGCUCAAAAAGGAUAAGGGACAUGAUGUUGAUACGUUAUAAAGAAAGUAUAAUUCAACAAAGCUUUAAAGUUUCAAUUGAUUCAAAGAAUGCCUAAAUAAUUUCGUAAGUAACAUUUUAUUCAAGAAACCAUGAGCAUCAUCAAACAACUUUUAGAGUUUGCUAAGAUAAUAUAAAUUUACAAUAUUCACAUAAAAUUUCUCUAGGUAUGCAGAAUAAUUAUUGAUCUUGAUGACCAUUCAUUGAAUAUAGAAAAUCUUAAAUUAAGCAAAAUCAAGUCAAGAAUUAACAAAAUAGACUCAGGCAAUAAGAUAUUUUCCUGAAAACUAUAAUAAAUUUCAACCAUAUUUCUCCAUGCUUUAGAAUACAUUUUACAACACUUUGAUCAUUAUUAUUAUUAUAAGACCACACGCUGCUUCUUCUUCUUCGAUAAAUAAUUACGAAGGUGGUUUGUAGCAUUCAAGCUACAUAUUAGGAUAAUAUUAAGAACUCUGCUUCUUCUUCUUCUUCUUUUCUUGAUCGAAUUUUCGCUUCUUAUUUUUUAGUACCUCUUGAUGUCGUGUGCAAUUGUGCGAAUCAUUAAUUUGUGAGACCAUGUCUUGCUCAUAAUUCAUAACGUAGAUGUUUUCCACAGCAUUACAUAAUCGUAAUGUAAAUGAGAUUUUCAAGCAAAAAUCACCAUAGAAAUCGUUAUAAGACAUGGCACAUGUUUUGUUAAUCAAACGGAAAUACGUACAAGUAGAUUUCCCUUUCUGUGAACAGUGUAAAGCCAUGGCACAUGUUUUGUUAAUCAAAUUCUUGUAUUGAAGUUCGAGAGCAAGUGGGGGACAUGAUAGCUUUCCUUGACUGUAAUCAAGUCGUGGGUUAGAGGCAAAGCAAAGGGAUGAUGGCUUUUCUCAUGGAAAGGACAAAAAUCAAGCACUCCUUCGUGUUCCAUACCCAGGACAUUCAAUUCCAAACGUGCUAAUUAACCUGCUAAUCCCUUACAAUCAAUGGAUUACGUCAUCUUUUUUUUUUUUUUUCACGACUCCAACACCUUCAUUUUCCUCGCAAGUUUCCUUAGUUACACGAGGAAAAUGAUAAAUAAUAAAGUUAAAAACAAUAAGAAGAAAAAAACUUCAACAGAAUUGUGAACUAUAUGGUAAUUUUAAUGAAUUUAGUAUAUUUUAAUUUUUUUUAAUACCUAACAUUAUGAAUUAUAUUUCUCAUGGCCAUAUAGCUUAUACGUUUAUUUAAAAAUAUAAUAGAUGUUAUUUUUUAAAGUGUUUUUUUAAAAAAUAUAUAUUAAAAUAAUUAUUUGUUUUAUUUUUUAAUAUUUUUUUAUACCAUAUAUUACCAUGAUAAAAAAUAAUUUAAAAUAAAAAAUUUAUUUGCAGAUUUUUUUUCUUUUUUUUUCUAGGAUAAUAGGGAUUUUUAAGUUUCGCAGCCUACUUGGAAAAUUCAGCGGAAAACGUGGACUUCCAUACCCAUUCACGCCGAACCGACUUUCGCCGUCCAUGCUACACAAUUCUUACCAUGAUGUUCAUGAUUUGAUGUUUUGAUGUCUCGGUGCAAUGAAUUUUAGGACCCUUUCAGCCUCUGCUAAGAUGCUUUCAAACACUUUGAAUUGCAUCCUGUUUGCAUUUUGUUUUGAAAAGUGGGUUUUUUGAAAAGUGGGUUUUUUGAAAAGUUAAUUCCUAAAAGUUAAAUUAUUUUUUAUAUUUGAUAGUGUUAUGAAAAAUAAAUUGUAAAAUAUUUUCUAGUGUUUGAUUAUGUUAUAGAAAAUAAACUAUAAAAUAAUUUAUUAAUUAAUUAAAUUUUUUUUUCAAAUUUAUUUAAUAUAUAAAAAAUAUUAAAUAUAAAUAUUUAAUCACUUACAAUAAAAGAAUAAAAUCUAAAAAGUGUAAUUUUUUUUAUUAUAUCUUAUAUUCAUAUAUAGCUUAUUUUAUAAAAUAUAACUAUAUAUGUCAUAUAAUAUUAUAGAGAUAAAACUUGUGAAAUUUUUAAAUAAAACCUAUUAAUAUUUUUUUUCAAUUUUAAAAGCUUAAAAUAUGUUUUUUUUUUCAUAUGAAGAAAGCCAAAUUAGUUUAUGGUAUUAAGUAGUUAGAUAUUUGGGUUUUUUGGUAUGAAGAUUUUUUAAAAUAAAUAAAUACAAAAAUAUUUUGAUGGGUUUUUUGGAUAAAUAUUUUUUUUUUUGUCGGGUAUAGGCAAUUAUCCUUUAAUAUCCCUUUAAUAUAUAUCAAAUAAGCAUUAAGAAAUAAAUAUAACUUAUCAAACAUAGUCAUGUAAAUAUUAAGUUUUAUGUAUCAUACAUAUAUUAGUUCAAAUUAACAAACAUAAACAUGCUAGACCGAAUUAAAAAGUAAACAUACUUGUCAAAUAACAAACAUAAACUUUUUAUCAUAGUGAAAUCAUCUUAGCAAUCAAGCAUGUAGUUGGUUGGUUCACAAAAUUCUAACCCAAAUUUUCCUCAAAUUAGCAUUUUUUGCCAUAAAUGCUUUUGCCAACAUUUCAUUUUGGACCAAGUGAUCAAAUGCAUCCCCAAGAGUGAUCUCAUCAAAGCCUUCAUUUUUACUUCUGUAUAGCUCAUUAACAUCAAGUUGAUUUUUGUUGAGGCUUUGAAUUGCAAAUGCUACAUCUCCAAUCUUUUAGACAACUUUUCAACACCAUAUCAUCUUCAUACAUGCGAUUUCUCUUCCUAUAUUGCCUCUUUUGUGCACUAGAGGAAGAUGUCUCUUUUUUUUUGAAGUUUCUUCAUAUUCCCCUUCAUUUUCAAUUGAAAUUGAUUGCUCUUCAGUGUUCUCUUCCAAGUUGACAUCAGCAUAUUAUUUGCAUAAUUUCCGGUUGCCAUGUCUUUUCCAACAACAAUUGUCAUUGCCUCGUACAUAUCAAGUUUUUUGUUGAGAUACUUGUCAUGAUUGGGAUGUGCCUGUUCAUAAAGUUUAGAAUAUGCAAUUUUUUUAGUUCCUUGUAUAACAUUUUGAAACAAAAGUAAAUAUAAAAAUUACAAAGAGUAUAAUAUUUAUCAUACAUUCUUCUUCAUCAUAUAAUCUUUCGAAACUGUAAUCAUCUUCAAACAAUCAUCAUCCAACCAAAGCCACUUUUAUUUUUAAGUUUGGUUAUUAUUCCCAUUUUUUUUUCACAGUUUGAGAUGAUUGUCACAUGCUUAGGCUCGCAUUGACGUUGAACUUUUGACUAAUUUCUGUAGCCACCUUAACAAAAGAUUCUGCUCUAAAGGUGGAAGAAGGUUUGUUUCAUUUAAGUGCAUCCUCAGCUAAUAUCUCAAGUAGCAUGUAAGACAUAGCUUAGACCAUGUAAAGUGCUUGCCCUUACAUUUUCAUUCUGUGUGGUACUCAUUUCUAAAAAAAAAAAAAGUUACAAAUUUAUACAAAAUAUAUCAUAUAAUAUUUAGAUUUAAAAACUACAAUUAAUAUUUAAAAGAUAAUACAUAAAAUACAUAAGAAAUUAUAAUAAAGUCAACAAACAAUCCAAAUACAUAACAAAGAUAAUACAAACUCAAGCAAGACAUAAUAAAAACAAACACAUAUAAUUAACACUCAAUUACUAGUUUCUUUGAGUGUUAUAAUCAUUUCUCUUUUUGUUAUCCACUCCAUAUUAUCUUCCCUUUCCUCCCGUUGACUUAAGUUGAUUGUUCGUCUAAUUGGUUCACUUUCCGAACAUAUUUCUUCCAUAAAAAAGUCAUUUAGAUCAACUUCCAUAAUGCGAUUAUGAAUAAUACAACAUGCAAGCACAACAUCUACUUGUGUUUCAUAAGGCCAAAAAGAUUUUCCAUCAAUUGAUCUAAAACGACUCUUCAAAAUACCAAACCCUCACUUAAUAACAGUUCUCAAAGAAGAGUGUCGAAGAUUAAAUAACUCCUUUUUCAUUUUCUGGUGAAUGAUCUGUAAACUCGUUCAAGUGAUAUUGAACUCCAUGAAAAGGAGAAAUGAUUCCUUUUUGAAUACCGUAACCAGCAUUACCAAGAUAAUAUUUCCCUACAAAUUAGAAAAAAAAGAAGAACCUAUUACUAACUUUAGCUAAUUAAACAUUUUAUAUGUUUAUUGCAUAUAAUAAAUACUUUAUUAUAUACCUUCUGGAAUUUUUAGACCAUUAGGUUUUGAUAAUGCAUCACCUAAAACCCGUGAAUCAUGUGCACUUCCUUCCUAACCAACUAAAACAUAUAUAAACUUCAAAUAAAAAGUUUUAGCUUCUAAAACAUUUUGUGUUGUUCCUUCUUUUCAACCUCAAAACUUUUCUUGAAUCUCAACAUGAAUAUUUGCAUGAACAUGGGUACCAUUAAUUGCUCCCACACAAUUAAUUUAUAACCUUUUCCUCUAAAUGUAAUUAAUUAAUUUAUAAAAAUAUUGGUAUUGUUCUCAUACCUUAAAUUAAGGAUAGAAUCUUUGAUUAUUUAUUAUCUCUGCGGGAACUGUAUUGUGCCUGAGUCUUUAAUUAAGUGUUUGUAUAACUUAAGAACUGCUUUUAAAACAAUUCUAAAGUAACAAUGGAUAGUUUCAACAUACCUAUAGUAUAUACCACUAAUAAAAUGAAAUCUUUGGUUUUGGCCUACAAUUUACAAGAAUACAAUUACUUGCUCUCUAAUAGACACAUUUUGAGUUGAUUGUAAUAGGUCAUGACUUGUGAGAACAUCACAUAUUUUAUAUAAGACAACUGGUUUCAUACGAAUUUGUUCAACGCAAUGUCUAUCACCUCGAUUCAAAAUGCUAUCCAUAUAGAAUUAUCGUUGAGCAAUUGCAUUUAUAUGUGGUUCUCUUGGUAUAUAAUUUCUAUUUCUUUAUUGUUCAAUAAUAGCUACCCCUGUAGCUAUCACAAUUACAACUGCUCCCAUACAUGCUGCAUGAAUAAUUUUAUUAUCCAUAACAAAAAAGUGAAGUUUUCUGCUAACAAAACCUAAACAUUUAGGGAAAUAAACAUUAAAAAAGCAUAUAAAAUACUUACAUAAUCAAUACAAUAAAUUAUGCUCAAAAUUAUGUGCAAAGAAGCUGAUUCCCAACACAAACAAUGCCUUAAAAGAAAUAAUUAUAUAAUGAAUUAUGCAUCCCUUAACAAAAAAUACAAUAAUUUAUUAAUGAAUUAUGUAUAAAAAUAUUAAUGGACUCAAGUUUUCUACCCAAACCAUUUCAGUUUUUUAUAACUGUGUAUAAUCAUCAUCAUCAAUGCACAUAAUAUUUCACUGUCUAAUAUUUCUACCCUAAUCAAUUCUUGAACAAUUACUGUCGCACGUCAAAAAAAAUUCCGCACGGCAUCGGCUGGCGAUUUUUCAUUCUCUUUUGCUGAUUUGGAUUUUUGGAGUCGCCACCUAGUAAUUCAUUGAGGGCUACUAGGAAACCUGAUGUACUGGUCUUGUCAGAGAUCGCGGGUAAGGGACUGGUUGUGGUUAGGGAAUGUAUUAGCACCCCUAACGCACCCUACCUGAGGUAAGCUGCUUCGUAGAUUUGAUGUGCCAAAGAAGUUUUAAAAUUUGGUUCAUUCAUCGAAUUUUAGAAAAUACAACUUAUAUGUAAGUUCAUAAUUCUUUGUCCGUGAACAAAUCAAAAUAUUAAAUUCUUUUUUAUUCUUGCAAUUUUAUCAUAAUAAUAAAAAAAAAUCAUUCAUAAACAAAAUACAUACCACAUUCACUUUCAAGCUUCGUGGACUUGAUGUGAUUUUAAAAAUAAAAUUUUAGCUCAAUUCUUAAGCUUUGAUAAAUCAGUUAUUAGUUCCCAGAAUAUAUGUAGAUACAUGUUCUACAUUUUUUAUGGAAAAUACAACAUGAUUUUUAUCUGUCCUUUAGAUAUUUGUGCAUAUAAAUUAAAUUCAUUUUUUUUAUUCAAUAACAUACAUAAAAAAAAUACAAGCACACACAAACAUUUCUUUUUUCUUUUUUUUUAUUAUCACUUUAUCUUUCUUUUCUUUUCUUUUACAUCCACAUUUACAUAAAAUACAAACUAUAAAAAAAACUCAAAAUUACACAAAUAUUACAUUAAACAAUUUUACAAUUACAAAAUAAUCAAAAACUACUCAGAACAGUGGCAAACGGAUUUCUGGAGUUGCGGAACAGUGUUCAGUAGAUUUUUUUUUGGGCUCGGGAAUAAUGGCGGCGCGUCUCCCCACGCGCCAACACCACUGGCAGCGUGUGGGUUCACGCGCCGCCUCAGAAAAAAAUAGCAACAAGGGGUGGCCUAGAUCGACUCCUUCCUUUCGCCCUUUCCUCGCCGGUGUUGACCUGAAAAACAAUAAAAAACGCAACCAGCAAGUCUGUUUUAGUCCAGAUCCAUUCUCAGAUUUUUUCUUUUUAGAUCUGUGAACCGCUGUCUUCUUUCUUCUUCUCGGCUGACUGUUCUUUCUUACUGCUGGUGACAGAUCUGACGGAGUGUUGGGUGGCUCGCCGGGCGGUGGCGCUGUCGUCCGUGAGCACCGUUGAAGGUUGUUGUUCGGCCGUCGCUGGGUUCUUUGGUUGUGGGGAAGAUCGGCGGCGUUCUCGGUGGCUGAGGGAGGGGUCGGUCAGAGCUGGAGCCACCAGCGUCUCUGCUGGAGGCGAUGAGCUGGGUCUGUCGGCGCUGGCGAUGGUCGUCUGUGGCCGCUGAAACCACGGUGGAGACGAUGGCUCUCCGAUGGUAGAGGCGCAGCUCUGCUAGUUGAAGGAGAUGAAGAGGUUGCUGUUGUUGAGAGAAUGAGAUGGUGGAAUCAGGUGGCUGCUGGGCUGUUGUUUGGUGAGGAGAGGCUGUGUAUGGCUCCGGGUUGUGGCUGUUGGCAAGCCGGCCGGAGAAGAGGAAGAAGAAAAAAUAUUCGGGGGGGGGGUUUGGGUGGUUGCUCCGGUUUUGGGAGAGAGGGUUGGGCGUGAGAUGGCAGGGGAAAGAAUGGUCGGGUCUGGUCUCUGUUUGGAUGGGGGGUGAGCGACGACUGUUUUCGGGCAGGGAGAAGAAAAAUAUUAGCGUUUCUGUUUUUUCCCCUUUUGUGUUGCCUCCCAAAAUUACCAAAAUGAACCCCCCUUAUCUUUUGACUUUUGAACCUAUAUUUAUAGGUAAAAUGUUGUCAGGGACUUCAAAUUGGUCCCUCAACUUCUUUCUUUUUGCACAUUUGAUUCUUUCUUAAUUUUUUUGUAUUUUUUGAAAACGAGCAAUAUCAACGUCGACUUAAUGAGAAAAAUCAAUGAUUUAAAAAUGACGCGUGAAAAGUCGAACGCGUUCGAAAAAACCUUUGAAAAUUAAAAUUCUUUUUAGAAGACGUUGAAAAUGCUAAAAACAUUGCAAAUAUAUUAAAAACAUAUUUGUUUUUGGAUUUUUUUUGUUUUUCACUAUUUUUGAAUUUUUCGAAAAAUUUAUUAAAAAGAUGGGUCAAAAAUUGGGUAACAACAAUUACUAUGCAACAUCAUCAACCGUUCACUAAUGCCUUGUUUCAAUUAAUACCUGGCUUAACCACUACUAAGAAACCAUUGUCUAUUUUUACCCAAACCUAUUCCUACUGUGCAGCAUCAUCAACAUCAACGGGUAUUCCUUUUCACAGUCAAGAUUUCUACCGAAACCAAUUCCCCUUUCAUCAUCAACGCACAUAUCACUGUGCAUCAUCAUCAACGCACACACAUCACGCCCAAAAAGCACAGGAAACACACAAAACACAGGAAAUGCAUAUCAGCAACUCAGCAACAUAGAUGGAAAAUCACAUCAGGUGGGUUGGGAGUCUACUGGAAGAGAAGCAAUUGAAGAAAAUGAGAGGAAGAUGAAGAGAUGGAAGGGAAUUGAAAGCAUUUGUUUUCGAUUAAAGAAAAGGAGAAAUAGAGCAUGGGUUUGCUUAGUUUUUUUCACAUAAACCAAACAAAUUGUUUUGUUUAGUUUCUGUGAAAAAAACACAGCAAACUCAAUUUCUGUGAAAAAAGCAUAGCAUGGAAAAAAUGGGUUUGGGUUUGCUGUGUAUGGGUUUGCAGUGUUUGGUUUUUGGGAAAAAUACAGGGGUUUUGGUUUUCUAUUUAUGGGUUGCCUGGUGAAGAGGUUGAUCGACAAGGAAGGAAACGGGGUCGAAGGGCGCCUUCGGCUUAAGAAAAUAAUGGUGAUUCUUUGUUGUGAUAGCAAAAGUGGUGAUUCUUUACUGUGAUAGCAACAAUGGCAAAAUAAUGGAGUUUGUCGUUUUUGUGUAUGAGUCUGUGUUUGGUUUCAGGAAAACAUUUUGGGUUUGCUGUGGUUGAUUUUUCCCAGGGGUUUGGGUUUGUUGUGGUUGAAUGGGUUGCCUUCCCAUGGGUUUCGGUUUACACAGAGCAUGGGAGCAUUGGUUGCAGUCAAAUUAACACGAUAAAUAAGGAAAAAAAUGCAGCACAAGAUUUAUGCCAUUAUUAUAACUACAAAUUAAAAAUAAAGAGGAUGAAAACAUAAGAUAAAUAAAGACAUUUGAGGAAAAAAAAAAAUUACCUAGAAGAUGAGAGAUACUUGCAAUUGAUCAGUGUAAAUUAUUUCGGAGAGAAAGAGAGUUUAAGGAUUUGUAUUUUGGGACCGGAAACACUUUUUGUCAAUAAAGAAAAGUAAAGUGUUUUCUUUAAAAUAAAAAAAGGAAAACACUUUCCUGUCAUAAAGUUUUAUUUCUUUAAUUGAUUGGAAUUGAGUUUUCUUUGACUGAUUUUUCUUAUGCUUACCAAAUAUGAAAAAGCAGAGGAAAUAAUUUCCAUGAAAAUAAAUUCCUCAAAACAAACAAGGUUUUGAUUUUUUACGUGGUUCCUUUCAGUUGAAUAAAUGGAACAUACAACAACGAAAGCUGCCUUGAUCGUGCAAUGUGUAAUUUCAUAGAUUAGAUUUUGGACCUGGUCCACGUCAAAAAAACAAUAUUCAUAAACAAGAAAGUAAAAUUAGGCUUCAUCAUGGUUGAGUAGAAAAAUUUGAAAGAAAAUGAUUACAAAUAAGAGAAUAAUAAUAAUAAAAAAAAACUAGCACCACAAUCUUAUUAUUUAAAGCCUGGUUUUCUUCAAGAACUUCCCUCGUACAUGACAACCUUGUAUUUCUGAUGUCGUGUAAUGAUCUACACCAGGAGGAAUGUCAUCAGAGGGAAUUAGGAGAAGGAAUACCAAUGCCUAUGUUCCUGUUGAGCAAUGAAGAAAUAUAUGAUCAUAUUAGUCUACCAUUGCAUGGAGAUACAAGUCGUUCAUCAGCCACGGCCCAAUAUUUCCAUCUUGAUGGAUCUGUAAUGAAUGGGAACAAAAUAGCACGGUCCAAAAUUAAACCGAGUCCUGAAAUACAGAGACUGAAAAUCCUGUGCAGCCUAAAACUCACAUUUCAGCAACUCAAGGAGCCCUCAACAUACGUUGCAGCUUACAUCAGGAAAUUGUCUGCCUGAUUCAAGUACCAAUAGCUUCUAGGUUCCUGGGACAAAAAAAGAAUAGGUCAUGGAAGUGUACAAAAUUCAAAAAAAUCUAAAAACUGCUCUUAUCCAGAACAUUAAUUUGAACAAUGAGUAUAUCGGAAUAGAGGCAUAAAAAAGAAUAGGUCAGAUCGGUGACUUAAUACUUCAUUGCAUUACCAGGAACUUCCCCUCUUAUAUUUUUUACUCGGUAAGAAGUGAUGCAUGGCUUAUCCCUCAACGUCACACCACCUGUUUACCACAUCCACAUACCAGUCUCAGAUGCCUUUCUCAAUACAGAAGAAUAAAUUACAGAAAUUAAGGAGGGGAUUUGAAUCUUACUGUUUUUUUUGCUCACGCCACUUCUCAGUACUUCCAUACCAAUUCCAUUGGAAGCACAGAGCAGCAACCACCUCAACAAAUGCCAUCAGGCACGAUCUCUGAGGGGAUUAACCAGCGGUCGCGAUGGACAGUAAGAUUCCCUCAAAGUUGCAAGGGAUUAUGAAACUACCAGAUUUAACACCGUCUAAAGCUUUCUUUGCAACUCCGUCGGCUUUCAUUGCGCCAGAGGAGGCCGCUAUAAUACAUGUAAACUGUGGUUUUCUUUUGUUUUCUGCAAUGAAUGUCCACCUUUUAGUUCCUGAGAGCAAUUCAGUUACAGCAGAACAGAGUCCUCCAACAUUUGAUGUAGAUGCGUAUAUAACAAUCACAACAUAUAAUAAAGACCACACAUUCAUAGGCACAGAGUCCAUCACAACUUAAUACCAUUCCAUCUGACUUUGGUGCUUCAAAGCGUCCGCCUCGCAAUAAUUUCGCAACAACACCAGAUGGUUUCAACUUUUCAUUAUUAACAAUCCUUUUAUCCACCCGCAUGUCACUCACUAGUGCCCGCACUAUCUCAGAGCGGCAAUACAUUGCAGCCAAGUGCAAAGGUGUAUUUCCAUCGUAAUCCUUGUCAUUUAUAAGUGCUUCCAGAUCUCGAUUUCCUAAUAUUUCUUCCACUAAUUUCAUCUGUCCACUCUUCGCUGCAACAUGAAGAAUAUUCUGUACUUUUUCGUUGAGAAAAUCCAUUGGAUCGAACCAUUAAGCAAGUAGUUCGCGAACUACUUCAAGAUGGCCCUUCUGGCAUGCAACAUGGAUGGGUAAGUUGCCUUCUUCGUUUCUUUGUGAUGCGGCAACAGGACAUCGACGAACCAGGAGUCUUGCUCCAGAAAGGAAGCCCAUGGAUGCUGCAAGAUGAAGGAGAUUUCCCCCUUUUUUGUCCUUGAGAAGCAUUAUAUCCGGCUUGCCUUCCUCUAGUUUUUCUAGUGCAGCAUAAUUUUAAAAUUAGAUCAUCAAUACAAAAAACACAAAAUGCAUGGAAAUAACUUGAAUUUUAUGCUUUAACAUAAAAUGAAAUUAUGAAGAAUCAGUUUUAAUGAGACCGAUAAUUAUAAGUGUGACAUGUUAUUUUUCACGUCCAAUGAUGAAAACAUGUGAUUACCUAAAUUUCCUUCAGCAUAGCUUCUAUAAAAGAAGCAAAUCAUCUCCUCGUCGCAACUCUCUACUGCCAAGUACAACGGAGACUUGUCUUCCUUUUCUUGAGGUAGGAUUCUAGGUCUUCCUUUUUCCUGGGUUUUUUCGUUCGUUUCGUCCUCUCUGCGUUUGCUUGCUUUCCCCUGCUUUUGUUUCCCCCAGUUCGUCCUAGUUCGUUCCUCCUGGUGUGCUCUGUGUGUCUUGUUCCCCUGUUGUUUCUGUUCGUGGGUUUUCUCUGUUCUUUUCGUUCUCUCCGUUCUCCUCUGGUUCUCUCGGUUUGCUCUCAGUCCUCUGGCCUUCCUCCUCUUCGUCCUUAGUUCGUCCUUCUCCUUGAUGUGAUGAUUGUUAUUUCACAAAAACAUAAGAGAUAUAAAAAUAAAUAAAGAUAUCAAAUAAACCAACCUUUCGAUGAGAGAAGGCUUUACCUCAAAAUGAACAUAAUUAUUAAUUAAAGAACUCUAAAACGAGUGGGAAAGUACUGUAGCUUUCCCCACGGUUUUCCCUGCCAAGACAUAUCAUCUCUGCCACUAAAUAUAUUAUAACUGUGUAAGUUUUCUUCUUUUUUUUUCUUCUGUCAACGACAUCAUGAUGGGGUUUCUGAAAUACUUUCAAAAAUUAGACUGUUGUUGUUUUCUUUCCGUGUAAUUGGGUCUUCUUUUCCUUCUAUCAAGGGAACUGACAUCUUAUCACCUUUAAAAUAAUAAAAAGGCGUAGAGAAUGUCAGGCUGCAUUAAAUGCUUUCAGGCUCCGUUUAGAUAAAGUCAAGCUGGCCAAUCUUUGGCAUCAUCUCCGUUUUCAUUGUUUCCUUUUCCAUUUCGGUUGGCAUUUCUGUUAUUUGAUCACAUUGUCACCUCUUUUUUUCCCCAGCCAAAACCCACACUAGCAAUCAACAUCCACUACACUAGCAAUCAACAUCCACCGUCGUUUUUCUGCCUUCUCCAGUGGCUGAAAUGGAUCACCAGCACCUCCACCGUCAACCACCAGCAGCUCCACCGUCGACCACCAUCCUCGCGACAGUCCAGCAACAGCAGCAAGUACCUCCCCCAGACCAGGUUGCUUCUUCUCUUCUUGCUUUUCCACGCAAAUCAUGCAUGAAUACUGUAAAAAAAAAAACCAACGAACCCUGUAGAAUACAUGAGUAAUUAAUUACCUGUUGCUUGCAAUCUGUUUUGCCAAAGGAAAUAGCCAUUUAGUUAAUUAUUAAUUUGUAAUAAUGAUGAGCAAUUGGUUACAUAUAUUUGGUGUUUUUUUUUUUUUUUUUAAACCCUUUGCAAUCCGGCUCAAUCUAAAAUCAUGUUCUCCAAAAGAGGGGCAACGAAGCAAAGUCUUCUACAGCAAUCAACUUUUAAAAAUACGUUCUCAAACUCGGUUCCUUCUCCUCCUUCGCAGAUCGUCGCCUUCGUCAGAACGCAGACCACUGGAUCGAAGCCGCACGGUCCCUUCUUUGCUUCUGCGUCGGCGGUGACCUCCACCGCUUCUCAAGGAAUGAGAUCUAGCUGCCGUAAAGUUCAGCCUACUCUUUCCUUCAAAUCUUCUCCGCCGGUGGAGAUCUACCUUCACCUGAAACAAAAGAAAAAGGCAAACCCAAACAGCAAUUGGUUUUAAUUAAUUUGUUUACAAGUCUGUUCUUGGUUCUUUCUUAGAGCUGGCGGCGUUGUGAAAUGAAGAACGGGCGGCUACGGUUGAAGGACACCGUGGGUCUGUCGCCGGCUAAGAGCUGUUGCUGGAGGCGGCUGUGCAGGGGAGCCGGCCUGUUUGGUUGAGAGUGAGAGGGAAAAUGGAAGCUGCCAGUCGUGAGGCAGAUCGGAGGAAGAGCGGUAGUUGUGGUCGGUUUUGUAAGGGAGAGGGGGCUGUGAGCGGGUGAAGGGAACCGAAAAUCAACAAGUUGGGCGAAAAUCAAAAAGUUGGGGGGCCUGAUAUUGAAAGAAAGAAAACGAAACGGCAGGCUGACUGAAACCGCAUUGAUUAACGAAUAAGCAUGUUCUCUUUAUUUCUGAUUAACGAAUUGUUUAAGACAGGAUUAGAUAAUGAUUAAUAAUUAAUUAGAACAUGCACAUGGGGAUCUUGCCUUGAAUGAAGCAAAAGCUUCGAUAUAUAAUGGAUGACUCCGUGUUUCAUGGACCCCUCACCAAGCUUGGAUGAAUCGGGCAUAUUAAACAAACAAGUAUUACUUUUGAGGUCUUAAAGUAAUGGAUGAAUUGAGCUUUGAUUGAAGCUUGGAUUAUAUUAUAUUAUAUUUAUUAAGACCUUUUGUUAUUUGAGUGCAGGACCGUUUUUGAUGAAUGGACAAAUUAAUAAUGAUAAUUAUGUAUUAAAAUAUCACAAACGGUAUUAAAAGAGCUUAAUUAAUUCUUUUUAGGUGGUAGCUUGAAUAUUAAUUUGGUGUUCCUAGAAAGUGGAUAGAUAGCACGCCUGUAUUUUUUCCGAUUCAUUUUUUAUAAAUCUUGAGCUGAACAAUUCUUUGUGACAAAUCAAGCCAUGAAAGCUGUAUAUGAAUUAACUUUGUGGCGCAGCGUGUACAACGAUAAACAGGAUAAUAUAAUUUAUUGAUACCGUAUGAAAUUAAACUUUGUCUCUGGUGAGGUUGUAAGGUUGUGUAUGAUGGUUUUUUUAAGAAUAUUUGAGAAUAUAUUAAAAAUAUUAAUUUAAUAUUUUUUUCGAGUAAAAACAAAUAUUGUAAAAAGUAAAAUUCGUCCACGUAAACAAACACCCGAAGUCUGUAAUUUUGUUAGUGUUUGAUAUAAAAAUAAAUAUAAAAGGACUUAAACCUUUUUAAAUCAGAUGGACACUCGAGAAACAUAUUAUUUUUGUUUUUAUUGGAAAGAUUGAUCAAAAGCUAAUUUAAAAAAAUAUUUUUACUUUUGGAUCAAAAUCAUGCCCUAUCAUAGGAUUUUAUUAGCUAAUAUAAAAAUAAGCAUGCCCUAGAGAAAGGGAAAAUGAAAAAUAUUAAUCAUAUCCACAUCAUAUAUAUAUAUAUACUAGCCUUGGUACCCGCGCUAUGCUGCGGGUCAUUUUUUUUAUAUAAAAAUAUUAAAAAAAAAUAAAAAUUAAAAAAUCUUGGGUUUUUUUGCAAGGUCAUCCCAAGAAUCUUGGGUUUGGCUGCAACGCCUUACCUAAAAAUAAUAUUAAUAAUAAAAUUAAACUUGCAUGAUACAAGUUUAAAUGAGCCUAAUUGCAACACCGGACUAAAGAAUUUUGGAUGUGGGUCUGGCUAUAAGGUCGUGUUAUAAAAGUGUGAUAAUUAAAUAAAUUAAUUAAAAAAAACAAAGAAAAAAAAUCAACAGAAAGAGAAAAACUAAUGAAAAAAAAAGAAAAAGAAAUUAAAUUAAUUAGGUUAACCCUUUCAUGGAAGUUUGAUAACUAAAUAGAAUUUAAUUUUUUUUAAUGAAUUUUUUUGUUUGAUUUAGUUUGUUAAUGUUAUAUUUAUUUUUUUAGUUAUCAGAUUUAUAAGAUUAAUAAUAUUAAUAAUAAAAUUAAACUUGCAUGACCCAAGUUUAAGUGGGGUGGCUGCAAUACCAGAUCCAAUAGUCUUGGAUGUGGGUCUGGCUGCAAGGUCGUGUCAUAAAAAUGUGAUAAUUAAAUAGAUUGAUUAAAAAGAAAAAAAAACUAACAGAAAAAAAAAACUAAUGAAGAAAAAGAAAAAAAAUGAAUUAACUGGAUUAACCCGUCAAAUCUGGAAUUCGCAUCAUGAAAGUUUGAUAACUAAAUAAAUGACUAUUGGAUCUGGUAUUGCAGCCACCCCACUUAAAUUUGGGUCAUGCAAGUUUAAUUUUAUUAUUAAUAUUAUAAAUCUGAUAACUACAAAAAUAAAUAUAACAUUAACAAACUAAAUCAAACAAAAAAAUUCAUUAAAAAAAAUUAAAUUCUAUUUAGUUAUCAAACUUCCAUGAAAGGGUUAACCCAAUUAAUUUAAUUUCUUUUUCAUUAGUUUUUCUCUUUUUGUUGAUUUUUUUUCUUUGUUUUUUUUAAUUAGUUUAUUUAAUUAUCACACUUUUAUAACACGACCUUAUAGCCAGAUCCACAUCCAAAAUUCUUUAGUCUGGUGUUGCAAUUAGGCUCACUUAAACUUGGGUCAUGCAAGUUUAAUUUUAUUAUUAAUAUUAUAAAUAUUACUUUUAGGUCAGGCGUUGCAGCCAAACCCAAGAUUCUUGGGAUGACCUUGCAAAAAAACCCAAGAUUUUUAAAUUUUUGUUUUUUUUUAAUAUUUUUAUACAAAAUAAAUGACCCGCGGCAUAGCGCGGGUACCAAAACUAGUACUAUAAUAAAACUCAUUCAAUAAACCACAAGUGACGGACGAAUUGUUCAGUAUUGUAGCACAAAUUACCGUAGACUAUGAAUGUUUUCACUGUAGACCGUAUUAUUUUGAGUUUAGUUUUUUCUAAAAGUACUAUUGGUUGGGGAGGCGUAACAGUAGAGGCUACCCUUGGAUCAAAGAAUUGCAAAUACUACAGGGUUGGGGUUGUUUUUUUUUUUUUUUUGAUUGAGGAGAAAAUAAUUAUUUUGGAUUUUAGUGGGGUAGCACGAUUUAAGUUGUAGAUAUCUAGCACUUGACAUGACUCAGAUAACAAACUUCUAGUGCUAGGGCCAGCUAGUGAGCCUGACAAUAACACCUGGCACUGAGGUUGUUGUGCCCUAGGCGUUAGGUAACCGCACACCAUGCUGAAGACCUGACGAGCAGGUCUGCAAGCCCGUGCACAUAAUAUAAAGGAAAAAUAAAUUAAUAUUAUUUUUUUAUAUUAUAAAAAGGUUGAGUGAUGAUAAUUAUUUUUUUUAAAUUAAAUUGAAUAUCCUAAUUAAAACAUGUUUGGUUCUGUGUUGCAUAGCGUUGGGCUAUUGAUGUAGUAAUCACUACCACUUGUUUAAUUAGGAUCAGUGAAAACUAAUUUUUAGUCCUCACUUCUUGUUUUUUUUUGUUAUUGUUUAAUAAAAGUAGUUCAUUCCUUGAAUUAUAACGAAAAUAUUUUAUAAUUAUGCAAAUAAAAAAUUUUCCUUUUUCUUGUUAUAUCGUAAUUACGAUAUUUAAUCUAUUUUUGUGUAACAUUGUUAAGACAUUAUUUGUUAAUUAUUUUUUUUUAACUUCAACCAUUAUUUUAUUUUCCCCCCCAGCAUUUUAGAAAACACCCUAGAGAUCGGGAAAAAAAGAAGAAAAGAGUAUGUUAUAUUAACAGCUCCAUGCCCGUGUAAUGCUUGUGUUAGCAAAUGGGUGGUGCUAGCUCCAUUCGAGUGGCAUUUCUCAGCGACCGAAUACUAGUUUUUGUUGUGUCAUUAAAAGUACUACAAUAUACUCUUUCUCGACAUGUGAUGUUACUGGGGGUAGCGAUAUGAUGUUGGUGACCUUUUUAUCUUUUCAUCCUAUUUUAUUUUUUUUUCUUUUAAAAAUCAUGUUAGCCAUGUGAAAUUUCAAAGUUGUCCUCUAAUUUAUUUAAUUUAUUGAAAUGUCAAAUUCAUCAUUUAUUCUUGAUUUUUUAUUUUUGUUUUUGGUCAUUUUGUGAAAUUUUGAGUUAUUUUUAAUUUUAUCUUUCAAUCUCAAUUUAUUAUAUAUUAUGUUUUUUCAAUUUAGUACUCAUUUUUUUGAUAGUUUUAUUUUUUGAGUCUUUUUGUUGAAUUAAAUUUCUUUUUAAUUUCACCCUUCAAUCAAAAAUACAAUUUAUUUUUUAUUUUAAUUUUAAUUCUCAUUCCUUCAAUUAUUAUUUUUAUCUUUCUAUAUAAUUGAUUUUUCAUUUUUAAAUUUUAACAUUUGAUUAGUUGUGAAUUAUACUAUUUUUUUAUCCAAUUUCUUUAUUUUAUAUUUAAUGGGUCGGAAAUUGAGUCACAUUAUUUAUUCUCUUUUAAAAUAAUAUUUUUUCAAGUUAUCAUGAUCAUUUUUUCUUAAUUUGUUCUAUAUACUCUAGCUCAUUAUUUUUUUUAUUAUUUAAUUAAAAUAAAACAAAUCUAUUUAGUCUAGUCUAUAACUGGUCUAUCAUUCAUUUUUCUCUAUGCUUUAGAACAUUAUGUUUUAUAUGAAAGAAAAGGAAUCCAGCCCCACAUCAUAGCUCAGGUCCACGACUAGUACAUACUAUAUUUAUCAAAAACGCACGCGAUUAGUUGUUGUCAAACUAUUUAGUGCUAAGAAUUCGAAAGUCAAGUACCCUGCAACAUGGAAGAACUCUGAAGAGACACACCAGUGACAUGUAUGUUCUGCUCUAUAUAUAACCAAAGUCGUUACAAGAGAGAAGAGAAAGAGCUUAAUAUCUAUUUGUUACAAGAGAUACAAAUUACAAAAGAAGACAAAAUACUUAUUUUGCACCUGAAACUAUCAAUCUAAAGGUCAAAAAAUAUUGGGUAAGAACAAAACAGACUUGGAAUGUGAUGAUGCCUAUGAAAUAUCUAGUGUGUUCUUGCUGCGUCAUUGCCAGGAUGAAUGUAAAUGCUAAACCCAUGCAGAGAAGGGAGUAAAAAUUACAAAAUGUCGCCUUCUUCAUGCUUGAUGUUACAUCACUGGCACGACCUAAUGAUAUCUGACAAAGGAUUAUAGCGGCGACGAGGGAGAAAUUCAUAGCUAGCAUGUCAAAAUAAAUAUAAGCUCUCAUCAGAGUUUUUGAACUACCACUGUUAAGAUCACGACCUGAUCCAGAACUACCACUGUUAAGAUCAAGACCUGAUCCAGAACUACCACUGUUAAGAUCACGACCUGAUCCAGAACUACCACUGUUAAGAUCAAGACCUGAUCCAGAACUACCACUGUUAAGAUCACGACCUGAUCCAGGCACAGUGAUAGCACCAGCGAAGGUUACUCCAGCUACCAGUACUGACACCACGAGAAGAUUCCCUACCCUUCUGUUCAGUUCCUCCGUCGUUAACGUCGUUCUUGGUAAAUCACACUCAGUCUUAUCAUCUGCCUCCACCAAAACUUUAAAUACCUUACGCUGAACAACAAAGUGUUAAUUAGAAAAUAUAUGGUAAUUCAUCGCUAUUGAGUAGAUCAGCGAGGCAUUCCAUAUUUUCUUUUGAAGUUAGAUUUGUACUCUUGAGGAUGGAUGAAGGAAUGGGUAUACACAAGAGUUAAAUGGUUGACAACACAAGUAGUCAAUAUUAGAAAAAAAAUUGAGGACAAAGAGCGAAACCUCAUUCUACAAGCCAUUGGUGCAAACAGUUCUAGUUAAAAGGAUAACUUUAGGUUUAAUCUUACUGGAUAGAAUAAAAGGUUUUGAAAGGUAACGAGGCAUUGGUGAUGGAAAGUAAUCUAGGAAAUAAAAUUAUGAUUGUCAUGGGAGGAACAUGGCAUAAGGAGGUAGAUUUGAUAUAAAUAACUCUAUUUGAGAUUCUAGAUCUAGAGUGGAAUACAAUGAUAAUAAAUAUUUUAAUUGUCAUUGCAAAGGCCAUGUUUGGUAUCAUUGUGAGAAGAUGAAAGCCGCCUUAGAAGAAUUACGAGAAAUCUAGAGAUGUUACGAAAACCAUGAAAGAUGGGAGUAAAGAUGAUGAUGUUCUCAUGGAUCAUAAAUGUAAUUAGGUUUUGAAAAAUUCAUGGAUUGUAGAUUAUGCAUGCUCCUUUCAUAAACAUUAUUUAAAGAAAUAAUGUUUUGAUACUUACAAAGAAUAUGAUGGAGAUUCUAUAGCGCUAGAAAACCCUUUGUGAUGUUAGUCACAUGCCAAGACUUAAAAGAAAGAAAGUUUGUGAAACCGAAAAUCUUACCAUUUUGCGAACUACUGCUUCCUGCGAUUUGUUCCAUACACCUCUCGCAGCAUCAUCCUCAUGCUUGGUAUCGAUUCGCUUGCUCUGACCAAGGACAAGGAAAGACAGUAUUGGGUUAUGAAAAUAAAUAUAAAAUCAAUUUUUAUAUAAAUUUUUUUUCAUAUUCAUUUUUUUUCUCAUUUUUAUUAUUUUUAUAUAAAAUAAAAUAAAAAUAGUGAAAAAUUGGGUUAUGAAAAUAAAUAUAAAAUCAAUCACCAUCAUCAUUACCAUCACAUCACCAUCACUUGUUAUUAGGGAUUUUCUUUGAUGGCUCAAAUAGAAAAAGACCUUAAACAGUUAUGAUAGGCUUGUAGACUUAAAAUAACAUAUAUAAAAUAUGUGUUCCAUAUGCAAGAUUCUUUCGACCAUGUUUUGAGAAUAGACCUAGAUGUGGUGCCAUAAUUUUGAUUUCAAAGCUACUAUUGGCUUUUAGAAUCUUUGUACAAAGCUCAUAACUUAGUUUAGAAUAAACAUACAAGCCAGGAAAAGCUCUAUCUAGGUGUAAGGGUACUAUACUACCUAAUACAAAGGGUAUCACAACAAGAGAAUAAGAGAACAACCUAGAAGGAUGAACCAGAAUGGCAGGACUGUUAUUCCCCUGUUGCUUCUCAAAGAAAUAGAGGAACGCGUAAGAACCAAAGAAGAUAGGGACAAAAAAGAAAGAACAAACACGGGGAAGAAGGACUAAGGAGCACAUAACAGAGGAAACCAGAGGAGAAAGCAAAUAAAAAAUAGAAAGAAAGAGAAGAGAAUCUUCCAAAGCUAGUGUUAUUCCCAGUCUUUCGCCUCCAACAAUGUUUGCAGAUUAGGUAAGUUUUUUGUUCUCUCCUCUUUUAUUUUUCAUUACAAAGUCAUUGUGCAGCUUGAAUUUAAUUAAUCCUUCACUGUGCACACACGUGUUGCAUGUGCCUCCUGCUGGCCAGCCGGGUCAGAAUAGCAGGAUUGUUAUUCCUUGUUGCUUCUCAAAGAAACAAAGGAAUGCGUAAGAACCAGAGAAGAUAGGGACGAAAAGAAAAGAACAAACACGGGGAAGAAGGACUAAGGAGCACAUAACAAAGGAAACCAGAGGAGAAAACAAAUAAAAAAUAGAAAAGAAGAGAAGAGAAUCUUCCAAAGCCAGUGUUAUUCCCAGUCUUUCGCCUCCAACAACGUCUGCAGAUCAGGUAAGUUUUUCGUUCCCUCCUCUUUCAUUUUUCAUUACAAAGUCACUGUGUAGCUUGAAUUUAAUUAAUCCUUCACUGUGCACACACGCAUUGCGUGUGCCUCCUGCUGGCCAGCCGGGUCAGAAUAGCAGAAUUGUUAUUCCCCUGUUGCUUCUCAAAGAAACAGAGGAAUGCGUAAGAACCAGAGAAGAUAGGGACGAAAGAGAAAGAACAAACACGAGGAAGAAGGACUAAUGAGCACAUAAUAGAGGAAACCAGAGGAGAAAGCAAAUAAUAAAAAAAAAGUAGAAAAAAUAAAAAAAUAAAAAAUAUGUAUACAUGAAUAAAAAUAAUAUAAAUUUAUUGGUUUAUUCAUUGACGCCAGAGUCAAGAAUAAAAAUACCGGUUUAAAUUUAUAUUAUUUUUAUUCAUUGUAUUUUAUUUUAUUUAGCUAGUAAAAUAAAAAAUAUGUUCAUGCAUAAAACUAAAUUUAUUUUUAUUUAUUUAUUCACUGAUGUUAGAGUCAUAAAUAUUGAUCUAAAUUUAUUUUAUAGCUACGUAAUAUUUACCAAUGCCAGAGUUGGAAGUAUCCGUAGUUGAAUAUUCACUAGCACCAGAGUCAGGAAUAUUAUAAGCAAAUUAUCAUGGCAUAAACCAAUAAACGUUUAACAAUUAAGACAAAACCAGCAAUGUAGUUUGCCUCAGGCAGGACGUUUAAGGGGUGAUAAUAUCUUUCCUUUUACGUAACCAGUCUCGAACCAUAGAAUCUCUAUUGACCAGUUAGGGUUCCUAGUUACCAUAAUAUUAGGUGACGACUCUUUAAAUAAGACAUUUUCCCUAAAAGAACAAAAUGCUAGAUAUCUGUUUUAUUUUCUAUAAUCAAGAAAAAUUUUAAAGCCGCUGCGAUAUCGGGUGUGACAACAUGGCCUGAGAUAAAUUUUACUAGUAAACUAUCUUUCUCUCACACCUUACAUGCUCUUGUAAGAAUAAAAUUGUGUAAACUUAGUUCUCUUGAAAGGUAAGAAAAUUAGUGUUUAAGCUCAAAAAGGAUAAGGGACAUGAUGUUGAUACAUAUAUAACGCCAAAGUAUAAUUCAACAAAGCUUUAAAGUUUCAAUUGAUUCAAAGAAUGCCUAAAUAAUUUCUUAAGUAACAUUUUAUUCAAGAAACCAUGAGCAUCAUCAAACAACUUUUAGAGUUUGUUAAGAUCAUAUAAAUUUACAAUAUUCACAUAAAAUUUCUCUACGUACGCAGAAUAAUUAUUGAUCUUGAUGACCAUUCAUUGAAUAUAGAAAAUCUUAAAUUAAGCAAAAUCAAGUCAAGAAUUAACAAAUAGACUCAAGCAAUAAGAUAUUUUCCUGAGAACUAUAAUAAAUUUCAACCAUAAUUCUCCAUGCUUUAGAAUACAUUUUACAGCACUUUGAACAUUAUAUAUAUAAAGAAUCCAACCCCAUAUCAUAGCUCAGGUCCACGACUAGUACAUACUAUUUAUCAAAAACACAUGCGAUUAGUUGUUGUCAAACUAUUUAGUGCUAAGAAUUCGAGAGUCAAGUACGUUCUGAAUUAUAUAUAACCAGAGUCGUUACAGAGAGAAGAGAAAGAGCUUAAUAUCUAUUUGUUACAAAUUACGUGAGAUUUAAAUACAAGAUAAAAUGCCCUCCCGUUUGCAAGCUAUUCUCUACCCAUAAGAGAAGUCCGUACAUCCAUCCUUCUUUUCAUUCGAGCCAUGAAUUUAAAGGGAUUUGCACGCAGGAAAGACAAUACUGAAUUUGCAGUUGAAAGCAUCAAUCCAUAGGAACAAACUAAUUGGGUAAAAAAAAGAUAGGCUUGUAAUGUGAUGAUGGUUAUGAAAAAUCCAGUACGUUCUUGCACCGUGAUUGCCAGGAUGAAUGUGUAUGCUAAACCCAUGCAGAGAAGGGAGUAAAAAUUAAGAAAUGUCGCCAUCUCCAUGCUUGAUGUUACAUAACUGGUACGACCUAAUGACAUCUGACAAAGGAUUAUAGCGGCGAUGAGGGAGAAAUUCAUAGCUAGCAUGUCAAAAAAAAUAUAAGCUCUCAUCAGAUUUUUUGAACUACCACUGCUAAGAUCAGAACCUGAUCCAGGCACAGUGAUAGCACCAGCGAAGGUUACUCCAGCUACCAGUACUGCCACCACGAGAAGAUUCCCUACCCCUCUGUUCCGUUCCUCCGUCGUUAACGUCGUUAAAUCAAAGUUAAGAUUGAUGUCAAACUCAGUCUUAUCACCUGCCUCCACCAAAACUUUUAAUACCUCACGCUGAACAACAAAGUAUUAAUUAGAAAAUAUAUGGUAAACAAAAUAUAUAAAGCAUCAUGACAAUGUUAGCUUAAUGUCCAAUAAUAACGAAGAAGGAAUUCAUCGCUAUUUAGUAGAUCAGUGAGAUAUUCCAUAUUUUUGAGCAAGUAAAGAACUUUAUUUCCAUUUUGGAUUAAUCAAAUUUAAGGUAAUUAAAAGAAAUCUAUCAUUCCCGUUCCGUAAAGUUGCUACUAGAAUAUAUUUUGGAUAAAAUGUGGAUGUAAAAGUUUUUGCUAUACCAGAAUAUAUUUGCGUCCAUCACUUGAUUAGCUUCUUAUGUGGACCCAAACGGCUAGAAUACUAAGUAAUUUGACUUAAAGGAAAUUUUUUGUGUCUUCUCUUGUUCUACAGGUAUAAAAAAAAUCAAAUGUGACUGAAGUUUUGACAAUUAAUAGAGCUUUUCAAGUAAGUAUUGAUUAUUCAUAUAAUGCCAUUACAUUGGUCAAAACUCACAAUAUUAUAAGAUCAUGACGCUUACAACAUGAAUUCAAUAACAUUUUAAAUUCUUGUAGUAUCUUGUUUUGUGAACUUUACACAUGUUCUUAGUAAUCAUGUCACACAGAUCAUUUGGCAAAGCAAUGGCAAAGCAAGGAAUGCAUAGAGAAGCGAAUUUAGUUACAUGGUUUUUGUUUUUAUUAAUUUCAAAGUUUGGUUUAUGUUAUGGCUUUGUGGGUUUAUAGGACAUUGACAUCAAAUUGUUUAAUAGAAAAAAAAAAAAAAAAACGAUUUCGUUCUUUGAUAGUGAAGAAUGUUUUAGCAACUCAAGGACUUGAUAUUUAUCUUAAGAAAACUAUAGGUGCAUAAAUCCAGGACAAUAAUCGGAACUCAAUUAAGAAGAAAUCAUCAAGUCAAAUUCGAUUGGCUUUGACUCUUUAGGUCAAGUACAAUAUCUGAGCCCUGAGGUGAGUUGACACUUGAGGGAUAUGGGAAAAACUAGAGAGUAUUUAUGCUUCUAGACCCAUGGCUAAUCGUUGAAGUUAGAUUUGUACUCUUGAGGGAUGGAAAGGAAUGGAUAUACACAACUAUCUUUCAAGAGUUAACAGGUUUGACAACACAAGUAGUCAAUACUGAAAAAAAAAAAUAUUGAGGAUAAAGAGCGAAACCUCAUGUUUAAAUGAUGUAAUCUUACUGGAGAAUGAAAGGUUUUGAAAGUAGAAAACAAUGUCAAAAGGUAACGAGGCAUUGGUGAUAGGAGCAAAAGAUGAUGUUCUCAUGGAUCAUAAAUGUAAUAAGGUUUUGAAAAAUUCAUGGAUUGUAGAUUUUGCAUGCUCCUUUCAUAUUUAUUUAAAGAAAGAAUGUUUUAUUACUUACAAAGAAUAUGAUGGAGAUUCUACAGCGCUAGUAAAUGAUAAUAAAAUCAAAGUUGCUAGAAUUGAUAAUGUUUAAAUUAAGAUAUAUAAUGAAGCAAUAAAAACCCUUUGUGAUGUUAGGCACGUUCAUAUUAAAAUAAUGUUAUUUAUUUAUUUUUUAAUUUUUAUUUAUUUAUUAAAAUAAUGUUAUUUAUUUAUUUUAUUUAAAAAAUACUUUCAAAACAUAAUUCCAUACAUAAAGUUAGUUGUGGUGCGUUCUUGGAGAUUAAUAAUAAUAAUUUCUAUAAGUUGAUAUAAAGUGCAGUUUAAGUCGAAGCAUAAGAUAAAGUGCAGUUUUAGUGAAACCGAAAAUCUUACCAUUUUGCGAACUUCUACGUCCUGCGAUUUAUUCCAUACACCUCUCGCAGCAUCAUCCUCACGCUUGGUAUCGAUUAGCAUGUUCUGAGCAAGUACAAGCAAAGACGGUAUUAAUUUGUAAGUAUACAUUCGAAACUGAAUUUGAAUGUAUUUUCUUGCAAUCAGUUAAGGUUGUCCUUUUCAUUAUCAUUUUUUGCAAGUAUAUAUGAUGAUUAAUUUGGAGUAUGAUCCCCCGUGAUGUUUCAAGAGCAAUUGCAAGCCCAUUGGCACCAUAAGGUCAGUUUUCGAAAAGGCUCAGCAUAUAAGCAUACCAUUCCAUCUGACUUUGGUGCUUCAAUGCGUCCGCCUUGCAAUAAUUUCGCAACAACACCAGAUGGUUUCAACUUUUCAUUAUUAACAAUCCUUUUAUCCACCCGCUUGUCACUCACUAGUGCCUGCACUAUCUCAGGACGGCCAUACAUUGCAGCCAAGUGCAAAGGUGUGUUUCCAUCGUAAUCUUUCUCAUUUAUAAGAGCUUCCAGAUCUCGAUUUCUCAAUAAUUCAUCCACUAUUUUCAUCUGUCCACUCUCCGCUGCAACAUGAAGAAUAUUCUGUCUCUUUUCGUUGAGAAAAUCCAUUGGAUCGAGCCAAAAAAUAAGUAGUUCGCGUACUACUUCAAGAUGGCCCUUCUGGCAUGCAACAUGGAUGGGUAAGUUGCCUUCGUCGUUUCUUUGUGAUGCGGCAACAGGACAUCGACUAACCAGGAGUCUUGCUCCAGAAAGGAAGCCCAUUGAUGCUGCAAGAUGAAGGAGAUUGCCCCCUUUUAUGUCCUCGGGAAGCAUUAUAUCCGGCUUGCCUACCGCUAGGUUUUCUAGUGCAGCAUAAUUUAAAAAUUAGAUAAUCAAUACAAAAAACACAAAAUGCAUGGAAAUAACUUGAAUUUUAUGCUUUACAUAAAAUGAAAUUAUGAAGAAUCAGUUUUAAUGAGACCAAUAAUUAUAAGUGUGACAUGUUAUUUUUCACGUCGAAAUGAUGAAAACAUGUGAUUACCUAAAUUUCCUUCCGGCAUAGCUUCUAUAAAAGAAGCAAUCAUCUCCCCGUCGCAACUCUCUACUGCCAAGUACAACGGAGACUUGUCUUCCUUGUUCUUGUGGUAGGAAACUUCUAGGUCUUCAUUAACGAGGAAACGGGCUACCUCUCGGCAACCCUUGAUGACUGCAUCAUGCAAAGGGGUGUUCCCUUUAUUAUUCUUCAUCCUCAGCAAGCUAGCAAGUUCACGUGUUCUAUGAUGAAUUUUCACAUGCUUGACGAUAUUUUGAAUUGUGUCAAACCGUCCAGCCCUGGCAGCCAGAUGAAGCGCAUUAUCACCCAGGAAAUUUUUCCUGGUGAUUAGGAGGGGGAAGUGAUGACACAGUAGCUGUAUCACACCUUCGCUUCCAUGGCUUGCUGCCACAUGAAGCAGUGAAUUUCCAGAGGCAGCAACAUGUUUGAAAAUGAUAUCAAGCACUUCCUCUGAUGAAACAUGUUCCAGUUUAUCGGACAAGAGACCAAACAAGGCAUUAAAGUUGUCUUCCUUUGCAUAGGUAUAAACCUCCUUCUGCAGUAUUUUAUUUGGCUCAGACAAAACAUAGUCUUUCGGAACUGGGAAUUU